CACACACACACACACAUGUUACCUUGUAAACAGGACCAUAUCCACCCUCCCCAAGGUUAUUUCUAAUUGAAAAUCCCUCGGUGGCCGCCUCAAUAUCAGCCAAACUAUAUACUCUGAGAUUAGGAACAUUUCUGUUAAAGUCUCCAGCUUCUGUUUCAUUAUUUUCUCUCGUGUUUGAUGCUUUAGCAGAAUCCUCUGUUCCUAACAUCAACCAAGAGUAAAUAUUAGAUAAUUAAUUGUAUGUCAGCCUAAGUUUUAUAUAUAUAUGAAAUGCAUGCUUAAUUAUAAUUGGUAGCUGAAGCUUGUUACCUUCUAUUAACUUGAGCCUUUUCAUCUGGUUGUAUUUAUAUGCACAACAACUUAGAAGGAGAGUCAAAGCUGCCGCUGCAGUCGAAAUGAGUACCAAGGACAGAUGGCGGUUAUUACUAUGUUCAUCUUUGUCAGCUGAAGCAGAAGUAAUCCUGUCUUUUUGUGCUGGAAAUAUGUAUAGUUCAGCAAUUAAUAAUAACUAGCUAGAGAUGCCAUAACAAUCAUUAUUAAUCAGAGAGAACAAUUAUUGCAUAGAUAAAUACCUGCAGCUUGAGAAAGUACCCAAUUAUGAUCGUCAUAAUCAACUCGCCAAACAUAGUAACCAAGAAAUCUCUUCUCUUUGGCAUAGGCGAUCUUAGCUCUAACAGCCUCCACAUCAUCAAAACCAAACCAAAUCGUCCCAGUGGAGAAGUAAUUCACCACAUAAGUUGAAUUGUACAUAACUUGAACAUUAGGACCAUAGGUCUUGAUGUGAUUCUUGAUAUCCCUAUAGGUCACAAGGCCACCAUUACUCAUAGCUGGUCCUGCUGCUGCUACUCCAAUACCAUUGUCUUCAGGUUUCACAAGCGUCCAUGCAUAGCCGUAGAAAGGCAAACACAAAACCAACUUAUCAGCCAAUAACCCUCUCUAAAUCCAUGCCCUUAAAACCUGAUCAGUACUGUCAAAGAAGCUCAUAAUGCAUGGAAGGAUGCAGCACACGUGUGAGAUGAAUAUAGUCAGCUGAAUCAAUUGAAGAGUGGAGUGCCAGCUCAGCUGAAGUUAGUUAGACACGUUAAGAUCAAGUUUUAGUUAGUUCUUCAUUUUCUGUUAAGCUGAAAAACAGCUGAGUAUAAAUACAAGCAUAUUGUAAUCAUUUUGAGGUUAAGUAAAAAUAAAAUAAAGCAUUUGAUUCCAGAAUUUCUUUUACAAAUUUUCUUAGCACUUUAGAUACAUUUUCUCAGUAACCAAACAGUUUGUUCAUUCAAGCUUUUAAGCUUUCAAACAUGGUAUCAGAGCCUUACAGAGCUAGUUCCAGUAAUCAACAGUCAAGCCUUCGUAAUCAAACAACAAACAACACAAAUCAACCUACUCAAAUCAACUUCUCUUUUUCUAAUCCUAUCAAGCUAGAUCGAUCCAAUUACUUACUCUGGCGUUCUCAAGUUUUGGCCUCAAUAAGAGGCAAUCGUUUGGAAGAUUUCGUCACAAGAGCCAGAUCAGUACCUGAUAAGUGUCUUCUGUUAACUGAAGCAGAUGGAUCUACACAACAAGUUGAAAAUCCAGAAUAUCAGAUCUGGAGAUCACAGGAUCAGACACUUCUUGGCUGGCUACUGUUGUCAUUAAGUGAAGGUAUCUUAAGUCUUGUAAUCAAUUGUGAGAGUUCAUUUGAUAUAUGGAAAACUUUGGAAAAGAAAUUUGGAGUUCAAUCUGAAGCUCGAGUUCUUCAGCUCAGAUACGAACUAAACACUCUUAAAAAGGAAGCCCUUAGUGUUGAAGAUUAUUGUAUUAAAAUGAAAGCAAUAGCAGAUAAGCUGGCCAGUGCUGGUAGUUCAAUUACAGAGAAGGAUCUUAUGCUAACUAUUCUUAAUGGAUUAGGAUCAUGAUAUCGUGAUAUUGCUACAUUUAUAACUGGUUCACGAAUGGAGUUUGAUGAUGCUUAUGCACUGUUACUCACUCAUGAGACUAGAUUAGAGCAGGAGCAAGGUGACAAAAGUAUGUUUAAUGCAAACUAUGCAUACACAAAUGCAUAUUAUCCUAGAGCUUAUUUUGCACAGCCUAGAAGAAGUUUUAAACGAGGAGGUUAUUCUGGUGGUAGAACUCCUUUCUUUGGCAGAGGAAAUAUGAAUUACUCUCCAAGAAUGUUUAAUGGAGGCUUUAGAAAUGGAUAUGGCAGAGGAUUUUUUCCUGGAAAUAACUCAACUGAUUUCAAUCAUUUUCCAGCUCCUAGGAAUCCAGUACCUAGGAACUCAUCUUUUCCAGCUAGAAAUGGAUCUGCUAACAUGAGUGGAUCACAAGGAAGUUUUAAUAAUGCUGGAGAGAUGACAUGUCAGAUUUGUUUUAAGAAUGGCCAUACUGCUGAUGUCUGUUGGCACAGAUUUGUUGAAGAUUUUGUACCUGUUCCAAGAGGUUUUGGCAAGGGAAGAACACCAAGAGCAGCAUAUUUAUCAAACUUUGAUGGCUCCAUUUCUAAUCCAGAUUUUGGCUAUGAAAAUCUUAAUACUAUGUUUCCAGGUUAUGACUCUAUAUCUGGCAAUAGCUACUAUUCUGGAAUGGAUGGAUACACUUCUGGAGCAGCUAGAACAGCUUUCAUGGCAAAUUUUGAAGGGACUGCUGAUGAUGGAUGGUAUCUGGAUAGUGGGGCAACUCACCAUUUAACCAACAAUAUGGAGAAUUUGCAGAUCAAUGAAGAGUUUAAAGGUACUGAUUAGCUUAUCAUUGGAAAUGGUCAAGGUUUGUCUAUUACUCAUGUUGGACAUGCAUUUCUGGUAUUAAGAGCUUCUAAACCCUUAUCUACACAUGCUAGAAUAAAACUUAAAGAUAUGUUACUUGUCCCUUCAAUUACCAAAAAUCUAUUAAGUAUUUCUAAACUCACAUCUGAUAACCCUUUAUCUGUUGAAUUCUGUGGAAAUGCUUGUUUUGUGAAGGACAUGAAGGGUCAAGUUCUUCUGCAGGGUAUUGCUGAAAAAGGCCUUUACAAGCUGCUGCUGAACUCAAAUUCUCUUUCUUCAUCACCUACAUCUUAUCUUUGUAAAUCCCAGCCAAAUAAACUAGUCUCUAUGUUGUCUGCUUUCAAACACUCUGAUAAUGGUACUCGAGCUUGUUUUCAGUUUGUUUUAAAUAAGUGUAAUGCCAAACCUAAUGUAAUAACUUUGUUACAUAGAAAGUUUGGUCAUCCAAGCUCAAUGACAUUGAUGCAUUUGCUCAAAUCAUGUAAACAGUUUAAAGUCUCUCCAAAAGACAUGUUAUCUUCUGCAAGUACUUUAUGUGAAGCAUGUCAGCUAGGCAAAGUCCAUAAGCAACAUUUCUCAAUAACCGAAACAAAAACAAAAGAGGUAUUAGAAUUGAUCCAUACUGAUCUUUGGGGGCCUUCACCCACUGUGUCUAGAGAUGGAUACAAAUAUUACAUUAGUUUUGUGGAUGAUUACACUAGGUACUCUUGGAUCUAUCCUCUUAAGCUCAAAUCACAAGCAUUUGAAGUUUUCAAAUUGUGCAAAACUCAAGUUGAAAAUCAGUUUGAUACCAAAAUUAAGAUGCUACAAUCUGACCUUAGGGGAGAGUUUAGAGCAUUUACUGAUUUUCUCAAUCAAAAUGGAAUAAUCUUUAGGCACUCAUGUCCUUACAUCCAUCACCAGAAUGGUCUUGUUGAGAGGAAGCACAGGCAUAUAGUUGAACUAGGAUUAACCCUCAUGGCUCAAGCAAAUCUUCCUCUUCAAUUCUGGUGGGAAGCUGUUCAUACAGCAGUGUAUCAUAUUAAUAGAUUGCCUACCCCUGUUCUGAAAUUCUUAUCUCCUUAUGAGAAACUUUUCAAACACAAACCAGAUUACACAUUUCUAAAGUGUUUUGGUUGUCUUUGUUAUCCAUACUUGAGAGACUUUAACAAACAUAAGUUUGAUUUUCACACUUCUAAAUGCAUUUUUAUUAGAUACAAUCCCUCUUAUAAAGGAUACAAAUGCUUAGCAAGUUUUGGUAAAGUCUAUGUUCUUAGACAUGUCAUUUUUUAUGAAACACAUUCCCUUAUCCAAUAAACAUUGCAUUCUCAACAGAAAAUCACAUAUCUUCUAAAACCUCAGUGUCUAAUUUCUCUCAGCAACAUAUCUAUCAUCUUUCUACAAUAGCCUUACUCAACAGCAGCUUUGAAGGUCUUCAGUCAGCAAGCUCAGCAAGAAAUGAACAAAUGCCCUUUGGUCCCACACAUACAGAUGUUUUGAAUCAACAAGAACAUCCAUCACACACAUCCUUAGAGUUAUCAUCCUCAACCUCACCAUCACCAAACACAUUACUAAUGCAAUCAUCCAUUCUACAACCAGAGGAAACUUCUUCACAGAAUAUAGACCAAAUUCAAACCAGAAAUCAUUCCCAACCAUCUUCUCAUCCAAUGAUUACCAGAUCGAAAUCUGGAAUCUUCAAACCAAAGGUCUAUACAGUCACCUUAGCCAACAAAGAACCCAGUACAGUUCAAGAAGCUCUUAGUAGUCAGAAUUGGCAUCAAGCCAUGGUAGAUGAGUAUGAAGCUUUGAUGAAGAAUAAGACUUGGUCACUGGUACCAUUUUCAAAUGCAUACAAAGUAGUUGACAACAAAUGGGUGUUUAGACUCAAGCAAAAUACUGAUGGAAGCAUAGCCAAACACAAGGCCAGAUUGGUUGCCAAAGGUUUUCAGCAAACUGAAGGUGUGGAUUACUUUGAGACAUUUAGCCCAGUUGUAAAAGCUUCAACAGUGAGGAUUGUUUUGAGUUUAGCUGUGAUGCAUAAAUGGAAAAUAAGGCAAGUGGAUGUGAAUAAUGCCUUUUUGAAUGGAGAAUUGACAGAGGAUGUCUAUAUGUAUCAGCCUGAAGGUUUUAUUGAUCAACAAAAACCUAAUCAUGUAUGCAAGCUGAAGAAGGCCUUGUAUGGCUUAAAGCAAGCUCCUAGAGCUUGGUAUGACAAGCUUAAGAAUUGUCUGAUUGCUAAUUGGAAAUUUCAGAAUUCAAAGGCUGAUACCUCUCUUUUCUUCAAAGAAGUGCAGGGCUCAAUGAUACUCAUCUUAAUCUAUGUAGAUGACAUUCUAAUGACAGGACCUGACAAUGGUGAACUGGAGAAAUUCAUCUCAAAAUUCAGUAAGACUUUUGCUUUAAAAGACUUGGGAAUUCUGUCAUAUUUUCUAGGAAUAGAAGUGUCCUAUGCUGAAGAUUGCAUCUAUCUAUCUCAGAAGAAAUAUAUCUUGGAUUUGUUAUCCAAAGCUAAUAUGCAAAAUUGUAAAGGCUGUGACACUCCCAUAGUUACUGGAUCAAAGCUUCAGAAAGAAGUCACAGGCUGUUUGGGUCAAUAUAUUGAGGAUGCAACAAGCUAUAGAAGCUUAGUUGGAGGUUUACAAUAUCUAGUAUUAACCAUACCAGAGAUAGCAUUUGCUGUGCAUAAGUUGAGCCAGUAUGUGACAGCUCCAACACUCCAGCAUGUUAUGGCUUGUAAAAGAGUUCUUAGAUACCUCAAGGAGACUGCAGAUUAUGGUUUGAAGUUUUCAGCAGGUGGGGAAAUGAAGAUCACAGGAUUUACAGAUGCAGAUUGGGCAUGUGAUGUUGAUGACAGAAAAUCAAUAGGAGCCUAUUGCAUUUAUUUUGGAAGCAAUCUAAUUUCCUGGUCAUCCAAGAAGCAGGCUGUGGUUACACGAUCCAGUGCAGAGAGUGAAUAUCGUGCUCUUGCUUCUGCAAGUGCAGAGAUAACAUGGAUCCAGUCGUUAUUCAAUGAACUUAGCAUUAAGUGUACUUCAUUACCAACUAUCUGGUGUGACAAUAUAAGUGCAACAGAGUUGGCCAAGAAUCCAGUUUAUCAUUCAAGGACUAAACACAUUGAACUGGAUAUGCACUUUAUUAGAGACAAGGUUUUGGCAAAGGAGUUAGAGAUUAACUAUAUUCCCAGCGAGGAGCAAAUUGCUGAUGCUUUGACAAAGCCUCUGACAUUUAUUCAUUUCAACUAUUUCAGAGCCAAACUCAAUGUGCAACCAUGCCCCUUGAGUUUGAGGGGGACUGUCAAGGAAGCUCAUAAUGCAUGGAAGGAUGCAGCACACGUGUGAGAUGAAUAUAGUCAGCUGAAUCAAUUGAAGAGUGGAGUGCCAGCUCAGCUGAAGUUAGUUAGACACGUUAAGAUCAAGUUUUAGUUAGUUCUUCAUUUUCUGUUAAGCUGAAAAACAGCUGAGUAUAAAUACAAGCAUAUUGUAAUCAUUUUGAAGUUAAGUAAAAAUAAAAUAAAGCAUUUGAUUCCAGAAGUUCUUUUACAAAUUUUCUUAGCACUUUAGAUACAUUUUCUCAGUAACCAAACAGUCUGUUCAUUCAAGCUUUUAAGCUUUCAAACAAGUACUUCUAGCAUAGCCGCCGCUACUUGAGCCAUACAGAGCCGCAUGUGCCUCGGUGAAGUUUGUUGACAUAGGCUCGUAGUAUUCAGCUGUAACAACAUGAACCUAAUUCAAGUUUCGUUGCAUCGAUUUCAAAAGGUACGAAUUGUCUGGUGGUAAAUAACGAAAUCUUGCGGUCAGGAUCAGCUGGGAUUGCUGGCGGCCAGAGUUUUUUGCCUCUAAUUGUGUAGCAGCUCGGCACUCGUCAAAGAAUAAACCCGUAUUGGACAUAUCGGUGCUCGUGUUCGGAGCUUUCCAAGCAAAGUCUAGGCCCUGAAAGCCAUAAAGCCUAGCUAUUCUUAUUGAAGAGUCGAUGAAAGAUUUCCUGUGAGAAGAAUUUCUCACCAUUGAAGAAUAUAUAGAAUAGUUUGUAUAUCUUCCUUGUCUAAUGGAGAGAAGUGUAGUGGUUGAUGGGUUCUUUUGUUUCACAGUGCCUGUAAAUUUGGGGAAUAUUUGAUUUCCAUCAAACGGUGAUGAUAAAGAUAGCUGGUAAGUGGUGGAAUUGAUAUCAGCGUAAGAGCAGAUAAGGUGAGUGAAGAGAUCAUAAUUUAUGCCCGAAAUGGUGGACACUUCGCUUGGAUCCAAGUAGCCGACCCUGAUCCACGGUUUUGCUUUCGCGGGAUGAAAUUCUGAAUAGAACAACAUGUGGAAGAUGAUGCUGAUAAUUAUGGAUGCCAUUUGAGAGGCUUAUGCUUCUUAAUUACCACUUCGAUGGGAAUGGAAAUGAAUGCACACUAAUAGAAAUUAAAUAAACACAAGUUUCACAGUUCAUUAAGCUCUCAUGUGUACUAUUAACGUAUAGGUUCAUUUCGUUGCCCAAAAAAAUCUUAUGUGCUCCUGAUAGGGACACAUACAUUGGAUGAUAAGAUGAUGAUAGGCGAUGCGACCAUUGCCCAAGAACUAAGAUUUUCUUCUAUCGCGUGGGUGACUUUUCAUGAAGAAAAAUGAUGUUUUGAUUGACAUAUGGUUAAACCGAUGCCAUAUUUCGGGCUACAAAUAUCAGUAUUGUUUUAUUAAAUAAUUAAAAAAAUUAAUUUUACGUGCAUGUUGAAGGUAAUAUUGCAGUCUUUUGAGCCUGUGUUGAAUUUCAUUCGUGUGCGUUCAUUUAUUAUCUAUCCUCUUUUUUCUCUGUGUGUCUGCUAGCUCUAGUCAUCUUAAAAGAAUAACAUGUUUAAUUAAUGCAUGUAAAUGCACCGCAAAAGUAGUUAAGAAAGACUUGAUCAAAGAUCAGACAUUUUCUCUCUACUCAAAAAGUAGUUAUUGGACUAAUUAAGAUUCUAAUCCCUUUAAGAAAUAUUGAAAAAGGGUUACUGUCACUACUUCAGUCCUUGUUGUUACAUAUAUAUAUAUAUAUAUAUAUAUAUAUAAAUUUAAAGAAGCAUCACAUAAAUCCUUCCUAAUUAUAUUUUGUUUCAUUCAAGUUGUUGACUUAAUUUGUCUGCUUGGAAAAAUUAGUAAAAAGGUAAAAAUAAAAAAAUGUAAAUUCUACUUAUUAGACUAAAUAUAUAGUAUAAAUUUGCAGCAACCAGCAAAAGUUUGGAAUAUGAAAAAUCCUAUUAAUUUUUAAAAAAUCUCCGAAAGUUUGAAAACUAAUAUUUUAAGGUCCUUUUACAAUAACCAUAAUUAACAUGAAUUUACUAAAUUAGGCAAACCCGAAUUACUACCAUAUAAUAAAAUUUUAUAACAGAAAUAAGAAAACAAAACAAAUAGCAUCAAAUCUUAUAUCUAAAAAAAAAUCUUGAAAUAAAUAGAAAAAAUAAGAAAAUAACUAAAACUUGCAAAAUGACCAUGAAAGAAAUGAAAUUUCCGACUGAACCAAAGGGCCAAUACACAUAGCAUUAUUGGACUAGAUCUAUCAUGGUGCAAACUUCAAAACAGUAUAUUAUAUUUUCUAAAUGGACACAUAUAGGUUAAGUUAUGAUAUUAAAAAAUAUCCUAUUCAUCUUACACAACCAUUCUAUGUCACUAUAUCUAUACACUAAUAAUAUAACCCAAACAUUUAUGGAGCAUAACUCACAGACCUCCACUAAUUACACUAAAGUUUACUCUCAUUUUAUAAGAGAGAGAAAUGUUCUCGUUCUCCAUUUAUGGGGGAUUAAACCAAAUGGUCUGUUUUUGAUUUUCUGGUAAGUUGUGUAACGUUGGAGCUUUUUGGCACUUCUUUGACGAAAAGUCGUUCUCUUCGACAACCCAAAAUUCGGGCCAAUGGGCAAUUAUGAAAGUCCAUUGGAUGCAUUGGACCAAACUAAAAGUCCAUAUAUAUAUGUAUAUAUAUAUAUAUAUUCAAUAAAUGAAAUGAAAAAAUGCAAUUGGCUUGCAGUUGCAAAGCUUCUUUGUUUAUUAUUAUAUAAUAUAAUAUAAUAUAAUUUUAUAUCAUUUUGAAUAUCAAAAUUUUAUUUCAAAAUUUAUUUAACACUAGUGUUUAAUAUAAGAUACAAUACUACCAAAAUUCUAUUCAAUAGUUUAUUUAAAAUAGUAUUGACUAUUAAAAAUAAGAAUUUACACUAAUAUUAAAUAUUAAAUUCAACAAUUAGUAACAUUAUUUAAAAUAAUUAUAGUAUUUAAAUGGUUAUUUAUCUUUAUUAAAUAAGAUUUAACAUAAUCCUCUGCGACAUUUUACUAAAUAAAUACAGUACUAUAUAUAAUCCAAUCUAAUCUUAAACAAUAAUCUAUUCUAUUCCUACCUUCCAAAUAUAAACACAAUAGAUAAUGAGAGCAUGAGCUAUGAGAUUAUAAAUCAUGGAUCAAGGGAGUAGAGAUACAGACCUUGAGAUCAUAGAUCGUAGACUAUUAGAGACUAAAGACCGUGGACAAAUCCGAGUACAUUAAAAAAAGGGGAAUUUUAGUCAAAUGUAGAUUGAUAUUAAGGAAUUCAGCAAGCAAGCUACAAGAAUAUCCAAAAGCGUGUAAUUUAUGUUUAAGGAAACAAGUGGAGAUAGAGAUGAAAUUGUAAAUUCAUCCCAAUCUUAAGUGGCUUAAUUCAAGAUGUAUGUUACCUACAAGCACAAUAAUAUGUACACGUUAUGUAUACAUGCAUCACAUACGUGCGUCGAUCAUCGAUGUAAAAGUAACAGUAAAUUUCUAGUAAAACAAACAUCAUUACUUUUAGUAUAAGAUGUAAAAAAUAUCAAUUAAUAACCAUUAGAAAAUAAAAAUUUAUGUAAUUGAUGCAGAUAAAUGGAAUCAAGUAGUAACAUUUCCUUCUCAUUGAAGAGAAAAGAUUAAAAAAAAGAAAAGGGGGGGGGGGGGGGGGGGGGAGGAGCGCAAACAUGACAAUUAUUUUUAUCCGCACGUGCCAUGAUAAUCGAUAAUCCGAUAUACCAACCGCGUCUAAUUGUCUGAAUUCUCAAGCUUAUCAAGCUUGCUCAAUCGCACCGCAGACACUGACCAUGGGAGAUUAAUCACCACUCGCAGUAUUAGGCGCGUGAAGGACACAUUCGCCAAUAAUUUAUAGCGGACAGUAGCAUUCCCGAUGCUGCGCGGAGAAAAAUAGUUGGGCUUGCGAAAGUUAAAUUGACUUGACUCGACAGAGUGAAGAAUGGUGGUGGUUGCUGUUAAGCAGUCGGUACUUCUGGCGACUGCUUGGCUUACACGCAGUUCCCGGGGGUGUCAUUUGACUGUGAAAGAGAAUUUUGGCUUUAUUGAUAUCUUGUUGGAUUUGGAAUUUUGGAUGGCUUCGUGUAGACCAUAAGACACGAUAUCGUUCAUAACACGUUAGCAUUCUUUCUCACGGGAGAAAAACUCGGGUGGGAGCAGAUGUACCAUCUCAACUGCCGUUUAUAAAUGGCUGUCAAAUAAUUAAUCAAAAUUUUAUUAUUUACGGUUAUAAUUGGAAUGAUAAAAAAUCAAUUCGAUGUUAUUCUUUGUGGCUCUGCUUAGAAUACUAAAAAAUCAAAUCGACUUAUUUAUUUUUAUAUUGAUCAUUACAAGUCUCUUGAAUUUUUUACCUACUUCAUUAACUUGUUAUUUUGAGUUGUACGUAACAUGGCUUUUUUUGUUUUUUACUUUACUUUGGUUUUCUUUAUAACCCAUAAAAAUUUUCUUGUUAAGACUGUGUGAACCAAUUGAAACUUCAGAUUCAUACUAGAACUAUGAUGAUUUGAUAAGAGCUUCAAAUUAAAUCCACAGAUUCUAUGAAAAGAAAAGAAAAGAAAAAGUCUUUUAUUGGUAAAAGAAGAAAGCUCUUCGGCACUGAUCCGAAGAAAAAUCAUUCUCCAUACAAUGAGCAAAACAAAGUCCAAUUCGCAUUACAUAGAAGUAAAACCGAAGCAUUGGACUAAAAGCAUACAUUAGUCUUAUUUUUCGUUACUGAUAACAUUUUUUUUCCCUUAUAUUAUCACCUUAAUUAAGAAAAAUAAUAAUUUGUUUAACUAAUUACAAAAAAGGAUGGCUAUAUACAAUAUUCUUGUGUUGGAUGGCCUUAAAAGUCAAUUCUUUUGAAACAGGAAAACUGGUAUCGUUUUUCAAAACACAAAAAUAUUAUGUUAAGAAAAUGAAUGGUCUUUAAGAGUUAUGACAAUGAUAUCAAUAAAAUUACAAAAUCUUAAGAGUUUAUAGAUGUAGUUAGUGAUAUUACAUUACAUUAAUUAAUACAAUGCAAAUUGUUUACUAAUAGAGCCUCAGGAGAGUGAUUCAUUAUUUAGUUGGCCAAUUAAACAACUGCAGCAGUCACUAGCAGCUUGCCAAGAGCUAGCAUAGAUCAAUUGUUCAUCUACCAACCAAUUUUGAAAUUGUUACAUCAUUACUUGAACAUAUUUCCAAUCCAAUCGUGGCUUUGUUUUGUUCAUCUUCAUAAGCUUUGUUUGAGAAACUUGCAGGCUUCUUUGGAGUCAUUAUAUCAGCUGUAUUUUCAUUUUCGAUCAACGAAGAAAUUUCUAGUAUAGAAGGUCUAUUGUUUGGGUUCUCCUGAACACAUAGCAAAGCUACUUGCAGACAUGUCAAUAAUUUCCAUGAGGAAUGCGUAUCAUCUAGUGAUGGAUCCAUUAACUCCGUGCCUUUCCCAUCCUUCCACAACUCGUAUGCCUGAAAACAUCAAAUAUGUUAUUGACUAACAUUCAAUUAAUUAGCACUGUAAUGUUUUGAUUCAGUGAAUAUUAAAAAGGGGGUUAUGAAGAAACUUACAUACUCUACAAGGCUUAGAUUUUCAUUUUGACCAUAUCGAAUGAAAAGUCUUCGCCCACUUAUAAUUUGCAGAAGCAAAACCCCAAAACUGUAGACAUCAGAUUUAGUGGAGUAGAUGCCUCUUCCGACAUAUUCAGGAGGGAUAUAGCCUCUGUAGUAUCAAGUAAUUAUAAAUGUCAGUGUUUGACAUAAAAGAUUAAGUUGAUUGGUAAAGGUUCAACAAUAAUAUUAAAGGCAUGUCAGACAAUAAUAGACAAAUAUACACUUACUGUGUUCCAACAAUUCGAUUUGUGUUUGCUUCAAGAUCAUCUUUCACAAAAAUUCUAGCCAAGCCAAAAUAUGAUAUUUUAGGUGUCAAAUCUUCAUCCAACAAAAUAUUACUAACUUUUAAGUCUCGAUGAAUAAUUGUUAAUCUAGAAUAUUCUUGGAGAUAGAGAAGCCCCUGAAUAAUUCCUUAAAUGAUAUAAAUACGUUUUUUCAAAUCCAAAAUAAGCCUUCGGAUGGGAUCUGCAUCAAAUGUAAACUUAGUUGGACGGUCAGCACCAUUAGCAUUUGGAGACAGAGAAAUGCAAAUUGAGGCACAAAAAUUAGAAAUUAAGCAGUUAAGCACACACCAAAAAGGAAAUAGUCUAAGCUUCGUUUUGGCAUAUACUCAUAGAUGAGCAUAUAUUCUUGCGUGUCGAUGCAAAAACCCAAAACUCUGAUCAAAUUUAUGUGUUGAAGCUUUGCAGUAAGCAUAACCUCAUUCUUGAACUCCUCAAAUCCUUGUGUGGAUGUCUUCGAGAGUUUCUUCACUACUAUUAUUUGUCCAUCAGGUAAUGCACCCUGCAAGCACCCCCCAAAAUAUAUGUUUUUUUAAAAAUCAGUGUGUUCACACACACACACACGUAGCUUGCACUAAUUAAUUAAUAAGCUAAGAGAUAACCAAGCUACCGAUACAUAACCUUGUAAACAGGACCAUAUCCACCCUCCCCGAGCUUAUUUUCGAUUGAAAAUCUAUCCGUGGCCACCUCAAUAUCAGCCAAGCUAUAUUCUCUCAGAUCAGGAUCAUUGCUGUUAAAAUCUCCAGCAUCUGCUUGACUAUUUUCGCUGUCCUUUGAUGCUUUGGCUGAGUCAAUUACGGUCCAAUUAAUAUCAACCAAGAGAAAGAAAGCUAAUUUAAGUGAAUUGCCCACUUCUUCAUCUGUGUUAAAUGGAAUAGAAGUAAAAAUAUUCCUAAUCCCGUGUAGAAGAAGUUACCUUUUAAUUUGAGGUUUUUCAUCCAGCAGUAGUAAUACAGUAAAAAACCAAUUAGAAGAAUACAAGCUGCCGUUAUAGGGAAAACAAUUGCCCAUAAUAGUCGCUUAUUUUGUCGAUUCUUAUUUUCCUCUUGAGCUGAAAAGUCAAAUCACUUUGUGUUAGUUAAACAUUUGAUGGUCAAAUAAAGAUCUUAAUUGAAGUCAUUAUGCAGAGAACUGAUCAAAUGGAUAGCAGGCAGUGACUGAGGCUUUGCAUUUGCUUACCUGCAGCUUGAGAAAGCAUCCAAUAAUGAUCAUAGGAAACUAGCCACACAAAGUAACCACGUAGUUUCUUCUCCUUGGCAUAUGAAACCUUCACUCUAACGGCUUCGACAUCAUCAAAACCAAACCAAAUCUUCCCAAUCGAGAAGUAAUUCAUCACAUAAGUUGAAUUGUACAUAACUUGAACGUUAGGACCAUAGUGCUUGAUGCGAUUCUUGAUUUCCUUAUAAGUCACAAGGCCGCUAGAAUACAAAGCUGGUCCUGUUGCUGCUGCACCAAUACCGUUGUCCUCAGGUUUCACAAGCGUCCAUGCAUAGCCAUAGAAAGGUAAACAUAAAACCAAUUUAUCAGCCGAUAACCCUUCCUCAAUCCAUUCCGUGAUUCCGUAUUCAGUAUUGGAGAUACUAUUUGGAUCAUACAGAGCCGCGUGAGCACCAGUAAAAUUUGACCACAUAGGUUUUGUGUAUUCAGUAGUCAAAACAUGAACCCAAUUCAAGUAUUGACUUAUCGAGUCGACUGGGUAAGCUCCUGCUCUUGAGAAUGGUGAAUAUGCGACCAUUGCCGUCAAAAUCAACUGUGAUUGGCUCGAGUUAUUUCUUGCUUCUAAAUCUACGGCUGCUCGCCACUCUUUAAAGAGAAUGCCAAUAUUGUACUUAUCCCAGCUUGUGUUUGCCUGAGGCCAAGAGAGAUCUAAGCCUUGAAAGCCAUAAAGUCUUCCUAUUUUUAUUGAGGAGUCAAUGAAGGAUUUCCUAGAAGAAGGAUUGCUCGCCAUGGAAGAAUAAGUUGAAUAGUUUGCAUCAUUUCCUCCGAUGGAAAGAAGUGUAGUGAUUGAUGGGUUCUUUAUUUUGACAGUGUCAGUGAAGUUAGAGAAUUGUUUUUCAUCAGAAGGUGAUAAAGAAAGCUCAUAGGAAGUUGAAUUCGUUGAAACAAAAACAAACGUUAUGCCUUUGAUCGUGCAUUUCCAAAUAAACACAUAUUUUAGGUAAUUCCGAAAUUUACCACGAUCUCCCAUGAAUCCGAACUUGCAGCUUGUUAUGGAGCUUCAACAGAGUUGCUGCUGCUUCGGUCUAGCUUCUGAAUUCCGCUUUCUUUUCCUUCAGCUCCAGAUUCGGCUUUUCUCAGUAAGUUACUGUACACACACGGGAGAGAAACGGGAGAGAGAGAGAUGCACUGCACUCAUGCCAGAGAUUUCUUGAACAGUCAACUUCCAAUGGGCUGAAGUUACUUAAAUACAGUGGUUGAGCGCAGGGAACCCUCAUGUGUUAGUACAAAAUUACCCAUCCCAUUAUGGGCUUAAAUAACACAAUUAAGGAUAUACUUGUCCAUAAUAUACUACUGUACAGGGUAUGUCAAAAUUAGACUCAUUAACACCAUAUUUGAUCACUUAAUAAAUGAGUCUGUCAAAAUUGCUCAACAAUAUUUGACUUUAGUCACGUAUUAAUUCGGUAAAAUAUAGAAAAUAAUUAGAAUGAUUUAUGUCAGUCCACAUAAUGUGAGAAAUAAAUCUAACAGAAUUGACAUUAGCAAAACCACAUAUAAGGUGAGUGAAAAGAGCAGAAUUUACAUCUGAAACGGGGAACCCGUUGCCUGAAUCCCAGUAACCAGCUCUGAUUAAAGUUUGUGUUCCUGCAGGAAGCGAUUCUGAAAAUAUAAAAAUGUGGAGGACAAGAAUGAUAAUUUUGGAUGCCAUUGUGGGAACCUAGCUGCUUUGAGGCAUACCUAGUAAGUGAUUACAUAUAUAUGUACACACACAAUGUAAUGGAGAAAAUAUCCGAUAGCGAUUGAGAUUAGUUAUUGGACUAUAAUACAAACCUGAGGCAACUUUCAGCUCAUGAGCUUAUCUCAUAGGUCUUUAUACGAUAUCAAAGUCAAGUUACGAACGAGUGAUUCUAUACUACCUUUUAAUUUAACAAGGAGAAAGAUAAGAGAUCAACCUACACGUGACAGGGUGAUAGAAAAAAUUUAUCACAUUAGCUAAGAUUAAUUACUAUGUUAAUGAUAUAAGCUCAAAACAACACUCAACUCAAUAACAAGUUGUAAUUUAAUAAAGUUAGGUCAACUCGAUAUUUUAUAGAGUAUGUCGUGAGUGAGGAGGAGUUUAAGCAACAAAUCGAGCUCAUGAGUGAGGACACGUUUGAUUUUCACAAGAUUUUGCGUUUUGUGCACGUUGGUCAUGGACUGAAUCAACUUAGAAAAUAUUUUCACAAGAUUUUGCCUUCCAAUUGCAUGGAUGGAGUUAUAGAGGAAUACAUCGAAAAGUUCGUCUUCUUGCCAUGAUGAUAAGUGAAAAGAUUGAGGUUCUUAAAUUAAGCUAUGACCUUUUACCUCCACUUAGCUUGACUUUUGAAGCUGAAGACUCGUUCUUUUGUAUUGACUUUGUUGGUAUUUAAAUGACCUCGGAGUCUUGGACGUGUUUCUGAAGCAAUGUCAUGGUCUAUGAGUAGAUUUUUUUUUUUGGGUAAGAAAGGGAAAGUCUGUCGUUGGGAAAACAUCCUGACAACGGGAUGGUGGGAGGGAAAAAAAAAAAAAAAUUAUACACUUAGGGUCUGUUUGGAAAAAUGAUUAUAGGGUAUUAUAAUACUAUUCAUAUUGACUUAAUAUCAAUACUAUUCACAUCGAGUUUAGCUUAAUGUGGUAGUUGCCGCAUUAACGUUUUGCUUUUGUUUUUUUUUUUUUACUUUUGCUUUUUAAUAAUAAUAAAUAAUUAUAACUUUUUAAUUUAAUAUAUUAUUAUAUAAUAUCAAUUAUUAUUUUUUAUUUUUACCUCAAAAUUAUUAAAAUAAAUUAAUAAUUUUAUAAUUUAUUAUUCAUAUUUUAAUUUUUAUUAUAUUAAAAAUAUAACUAAAUAAUGUAUUAUUUAAUUAUAUAAUAAUUAAUAUAUAAAAUUAAUUAAUAUUUAAUAAGUUAAUAUAACUAACAAUAAGUACUUAAAUAAUAUAUAAAAAUUGAUUAUUAUUUAGAAAUUUAAUAUAACUAACAAUAAAUAUUUAUAUAUGAAUAAAUUUAAAUAAUAUUAAUUUAAAAUUAAUAUCAACAAAAAUAAUAACGUAAAAUAUCAUUAUGUUAUGAUAUUAUUUAGAGAUUAUUUGAUUAAAUUAUUUACUUCGAUCUUUAUUUCACAUGUUAUAUAUUUAGAAAAUACUGAAAAAUAAAUGUUAUGCUGCCGAAAAUAUAAGGCUAUAAGUUUCGAUCUUUACAAAAAAUUGUGAUGCUUUUUAACAUUUAUACUAAAAAAUAAUGUUAAAUUUCUAAAAUUUAAGACUUAUAUAUUUAGUAGUUUUCUAGGUACUAUAAAUAUUAUUUCCUAAAUAUAUAAUUUAAGUUAAUCACAAAAAAUUAAUACAAUAUAGUGUAGCAUCAAACGUUGUAUAACAUUAUUAUAAUAUAGUGCUAAUACAAUACAGCAUAAUGCAAUACACAUCCAUUAAAAUAAUAUAACAUAGUGUGCUAAACUCACCAUUAAUUACUUCCUAAUGUUAAAAUUCAGUAGUAUUGUAAUUUUAAUAAAAAAUUGAGACCCUUUUAUCAUUUAGAUGUAAUAUACUUACAUUGUUCCCACAACUUGUUUUGUAUUCGCUUCGAGACUCUUUUGCAAAAAUCCUAACCAUACCAAAAUCUGAAAUUUUAGGUUUCAUAUCUUGACCUAACAAAAUAUUACUAGCUUUCAAAUCUCGAUGGAUAAUAGUCAGUCUUGAGUAUUCUUUGAGGUAUAAAAACCUUUGAGUCAUCCCUUCAAUGAUAUGAACACGUUUUUUCCAAUCCAAAAUAAACCUUCUGAUGGGAUCUACAACAGAUAUAUAGUUUUAGACAAUAAGUGAUAUGCAAAUGAAUUAUAUACACAAUUAAUAUUAACUUGAUUUCAGAACAAACCAAAAAGGUAGCAAUCCAAGCUUUGUUUGGCAUGUACUCGUAGACUAGCAUUCGUUCCUCACUGUCAAUGCAAAAACCUAAAACUCUAAUAAGAUUUACAUGUUGGAGUUUUGCAGUAAGUAUAAUCUCAUUCUUAAACUCCUCAAAUCCCUGUGUGGAUGCUUUCGAAAGUUUCUUCAUUGCUAUCACCUCUCCGCAGGGUAGUAUACCCUGCAACCAAAAAACAAAUGUUCAUAUAAAGCUUGCACUAAUUAAAUAAGUUGAGAAAUGUUUGCCAAACAAUAUGUUUCCCUCCAAAGUUGAGGGCACCAUUUUAAGUCCUUUAAGUCCCCAUAGACGCAUGAAUCUCCUCUCAGAAAAUAUGGAUAUGGGUAGACAUAUCUUCCUAAAUAUUAGUAGAAGUAGUUAUAUCUCUCUAGUGCGAGGUCAGAGGUCUCAUGUCUAAUAGGUAUAGAUUUUUAAAUUAUAUGUUUUGGGCCUCUGAAUUUUACUCUAAGUGUAUGAAUUCAAAGUUCCGACAGAAUCCAAAUUGUAACAUUUGUGGAUUUUGUGUGUGUGUGUGUGUUAACUUGUAAACAGGACCAUAUCCACCUUCCCCUAGCUUAUUUCUAACUGAAAAUCCCUCGGUGGCCGCCUCAAUAUCAGCCAAACUAUAUACUCUGAGGUUAGGAACAUUUCUGUUAAAGUCUCCAGCUUCUGCUUCAUCAUUUGCUCUCGUGUUUGACGCUUUAGCAGAGUCCUCUGUUCCUAACAUCAACCAAGAGUAAAUAUUAGAUAAUUAAUUAAAUUUCAGUCUCAGUUACAUGUAUAUGAGUGAAAUACAUACUUAAUUAUAAUUAAUAACUGAAACUUGUUACCUUCAAUUAAGUUGAGCCUUUUCAUCCUGUUGUAUUUAUAUGCACAAAAGCCUAGAAGGAGAGUCAAAGCUGCCGCAGCAGUCGAAAUGAGGACCAAGGACAGACGCCGGUUAUUACUAUGUUCAUCUUUGUCAGCUGAAGCAGAAGUAAUCCUGUCUUUUUGUGCUGGAAAUAUGUAUAGUUCACCAAUUAAUAAUAACUAGCUAGAGAUGCCAUAACAAUCAUUAUUAAUCAGAGAGAACAAUUAUUGCAUAGAUAAAUACCUGCAGCUUGAGAAAGCACCCAAUUAUGAUCAUCAUAAUCCACUCGCCACACAUAGUAACCAAGCAAUCUCUUCUCUUUGGCAUAGGCGAUCUUAGCUCUAACAGCCUCCACAUCAUCAAAACCAAACCAAACCGCCCCAGUGGAGAAGUAAUUCACCACAUAAGUUGAAUUGUACAUAACUUGAACAUUAGGAGCAUAGUUCUUGAUGUGAUUCUUGAUAGUCCUAUAGGUCACAAGGCCAUCAUUAGUCAAAGCUGGUCCUGCUGCUGCUGCUCCAAUACCAUUGUCUUCAGGUUUCACAAGCCUCCAUGCAUAGCCAUAGAAAGGCAAAGACAUAGCCAACUUAUCAGCCGAUAGCCCUCUCUCAAUCCAUGCCUUUAAAACCUGAUCGGUACUUUUAGCAAAGCCGCCGCUACUUGAGCCAUGGAGAGCCGCAGGUGGCGCAGUGAAGUUUGUUGACAAAGGCUCGUAGUAGUGUUCAGUAGCAACAUGAACCCAAUUCAAGUUUCGUUGCAUCGAAUUCACAAGGUACGAAUUGUCUGGUGGUGAAUAAUGAAACCUUGCGGUCAGGAUCAGCUGGGAUUGCUGGCGGUUAGAGCUUUUUGCCUCUAAUUUUGUGGCAGCAGCUCGCCACUCGUCGAAAAGUAAACCAAUAUUGAGCAUAUCGGUGCUUGUGUUAGGAGAUGUCCAAGCAAAGUCUAGGCCCUUAAAGCCAUAAAGCCUAGCUAUUCUUAUUGAAGAGUCGAUGAAAGAUUUCCUGUGAGAAGAAUUUCUCACCAUUGAAGAAUAUAUAGAAUAGUUUGUAUUUCUUCCUUGUCCAAUGGAGAGAAGUGCAGUGAUUGAUGGGUUCUUUUGUUUCAUUUGUUUCACAGUGCCUGUAAAUUUGGGGAAUAUUUGAUUUCCAUCAAAUGGUGAUGAUAAAGAUAGCUGGUAUGUGGUGGAAUUGAUAUCAGCAGAAGAGCAAAUAAGGUGAGUGAAGAGAUCAUAAUUUAUGCCCGAAAUGGCGGAAACAUCGCCUGAAUACAAGUAACCGACCCUGAUCCACGGUUUUGCUUUCGCGGGAUGAAAUUCUGAAUAGAAAAACAUGUGGAAGAUGAUGCUGAUAAUUAUGGAUGCCAUUUGAGAGGCUUAAGCUUCUUAAUUAUUACCACUUCGAAGGGAAUGGAAAUGAAUGCACACUAAGAGAAAUUAAAUAAACACAAGUUUCACAGUUCAUUAAGUUCUUAUGUGUACUAUUAACGUAUAGGUUCAUUUCGUUGCCCAAAAAAAAUCUUAUGUACUCCUGAUAGGGACACACACAUUGCAUGUUAAGAUGAUGAUAGGCGAUGCGACCAUUGCCUAAGAACUAAGAUUUUCUUCUAUCGCCUGGGUGACUUUUCAUGAAGAAAAAUAAUGUUUUGAUUGACAUUUGGUUAAACUGAUGACAUAUUUCGGGCUACAAAUAUCAGUAUUGUUUUAUUAAAUAAUAAAAAUAAUAAUUUUACGUGCAUGUUGAAGGUUAUAUUGCAGUCUUUUGAGCCUGUGUUGAAUUUCAUUCGUGUGCGUUCAUUUAUUAUCCAUCCCCUUUUUUCUCUGAGUCUGCUAGCCGUAGUCAUCUUAAAAGGAUAACAUGUUUAAUGCGUGUAAAUGCACCUCAUAAGUAGUUAAGAAAGAUUUGACCAAACCAGAUAAUUUUCCUCUUAACACAGAAGUAGUUAUCGGACUAAUUAAGAUUCUAAUCCAUUUAAGAAAUAUUCAAAAAGGGUUAUUGUCACUACUUUAGUCCUUGUUGUUUUAUUAAAGAAAAAAAAAAGAUAUUUAAAGAAGCAUCACAUAAAUCCUUCCUAAUUACAUUUUGUUUCAUUCAAGUUCUUGACUUAAUUUGACUGCUUGGAAAAAUUAGUAAAAAGGUAAAAAUGAAAAAAAAAAUGUAAAUUCCAGUUAUUAGACUAAAUAUAUAUAAAUUUGCAACAAGUAGCAAAAGUUUAGAAUAUGAAAAACCCUAUUUUGUUUACGAAAUAAAGGAAAUUCGAAUCAUUUUCAAAAAAAAAAUCUCUAAAAGUUUGAAAACUAAGAUUUUAAGGUCCUUCUAGACUAACCAUAAAUAACAUGAAUUUACCAAAUUAAGCAAACUCGAAUUAUUAUUACACAAUAAAAUUUUACUAAUGGAAAUAAGAAAACAAAAUAAAUAACACUCAAAUUCGAUGUCUAAAAAACAAAGAUAAAAAUCAUGAGAGCAAUAGAAAAAAAAUAAAAUAAACUAAAACUUGCAAAAUGACCAUGAAAGAAAUAAAUUUUUUUGCUGAACCAAGGGGCCGAUACAUAUAGCCUUAUUGUACUAGAUUCAUCUCACUGCAAGUUUCAAAACAAUAUAUUAUAUGUCUUAAACAAACUCUUGUAAAUUAAGUUAUGACCUUAAAAAAUAUCCUACUCAUCUUACAUAAAUAUCCUAUGUCACUAUAUAGCUAUACAAUAAUAAUAUAAUCCAAACACUUAUGGAGCAUAACUCACGCACCUCCAUUAAUAACCGUGAAAUUUACUCACAUUUUAUAAGAGAGAGGAAUGUUCUCAUUUAUUGGGGAUUAAACCAAAUAGUCUAUCUUCGAUAUUUCUGCUAGGUUGUGUCAGGUUGGGCUUUUUAGAAUUUCUUUGACGAAAAGUCAUUCUCUUCAACAGCCAAAUCUUGGGCCAGUGGGCAAUUAUGAAAGUCCAUUGGAUGCAUUGGACCAAACUAAACGUACAAUUUUUUUUUUCUUACAAAAAAAAAAUUAGAGUUGGACUAUUGACACCCCUCUCAUCUCCUCAUAAAACCCCCUUUUUAGUUAUAUUUAUUUUAUUUUAGAAAAUGCCCUUUUUUAGAUACACGUUUCUAAGUUUUUAAUUUUCAUUUGAUUUGUUUUAUUGUUAAAACUCAAAGUAUUAUUGUGUUAUUUUUUAAUUAUUUUCAAUUUUAUUAUUAAUCUACAUACAAAUUAAAAAUUUAUAUGGGUGAUAAGUUUUUUAGUGUUAAUCAUUGGUUGAAAUAACACAUAUUUCAAAUUAUAAUUUCAAAGCAAUUUUAAGUAUAAAAAUAUUUAAUCAAUAAGAAAUCAAAAGAGAAUAAUAGAUUAUUCUAAAUUUGUACAAUUUAUUUUAGUUAAAUAGGAAGUAAAAUAUAAAUUUUUUUAAAAAAUGAUUGAUUAUGAAUUAAGUAAUUUGCUGGGAAAAAAAAUCUAUAUAUGUUUAAUUUUCAAUUGUCUUUAAUUGUAAUUUUAUUUAAAGUGGUGUUUUGUAAGAAUAAUGUAGGGGUGCCAAUAGCUCCACUCAAAAAAUUAUAUCUAUAUAUUCUCUUCAACAACCUAAAACUGGGCCAAUGGGCAAUUAUGAAGUCCAUUGGAUGUAUUGCACCAAACUAAAAGUCCAAUUUUUUUUAUUACUACAAUAUAUAUAUAUAUAUAUAGUAGUUUUCUAAUUAGGGAUUCCUGACUUUAAUAAAGUCAUGGAUCAGCUAAAAGACAAAUAUACAGUGCAUUGGAGUCUGUGUUUAUUUUGUCUUUUAGCUAAUUCCUGAUUUUAUUAAAGUCAGGGAUCCCUGAUUGGAAAACUACUAUAUAUAUAUAUAAACAAAUGUUUUAAUUUAGAAUUUUAAAGUGCGGGAUAGUAUAUAUAUAUAUAUAUAUAAACAAAUGUUUUAAUUUAGAAUUUUAAAGUGCGGGAUAGUCUGGAAUAUGCAGUUUUAAAAACUUAAAACUGUAAGCCUUUAAAACCAUACAAUUUUAAAUUUUUCUCAAAUUUUCUCGUACUUUAAAAUUUCAUACUAAAAAACUACUACAUAUAUCAAUAAAUGAAAUGACACAAUACAGUUGGCUUGCCGUUGCAAAGCCUCUUUGUUUGUUAUUAUUUAUUGGCUUAUUGCAAUAAAGACUAAAGAGAGCUUUGAGCCAUGCAGCAUGGGAAGCUACAUUAAAAAAUAAAAGAAUUUAAAGCUUCAAGGGCAUAAAGCGUGCCCACCCAAUUAAAUUUUUCUUUAAAAAAGAAAAAAAAAGGCUGCAAUUGCAAUGACUUGAAUUUAUCAUCAAUUCUGGCUUAAUUUGCCCCCGUCAUUUUUUCAAGGAGAAUGUCCAACUCAAUUGUGACGGCUACUGCUUCAAUUUUAAUUUUAUUUUUCUCAAGAAUAGUCAUUUUCAUCCACCAUAUUCCUGCAUCCUGAUGCGUCCUUAUUGCUUAUAUUAUUAUAGACCACUUUUGGAAGCAUAACAAAUUUUGCACACAUGGUAUCCAUCUUGCGGACCCAAAUGUUGAUGAUAUACUUGCAUGCUGCAAAAUAAGCCCUUUUAAUAACUUAUCAUCUGGUAAAUGAUAGUUUAUUUAUUUAUUACAUAACAAAUAUGUUAUGCCAUAUGCCACCUAUUAGUGAAAGAUGUUUAAAUAACUACUCUUGUAGUAAACUCCUGAAUGAUGGCAAGUUAGAUUUAUACUUAAUGCACUAACUUCGAUAUUAUUUUUUUUUUACAUGGUAAUUAUUUUCUUCUCGCUAGGAAGUUGCAAUGAUUGAUAAUAAGGGAGCAUUUUGCUUUAUAUACAAUCCUUAAUAGAAGAUUUUCUAGAGAUGUUUAUUAUUAUUAUUAUUAUUAUUAAUCCCGCGUUGGUCAGGAUUUGAUUACUAUAAUAUUGACGAUUCGAUUUCUAACAAUUUUGUUUAUUAUAAAAUUAAAACAAAUGAGUAGUCAUCUAGAAAAUCAUAAUCUCUUUAAAGGCAUCAAAAGGCAAUGGCAAUGUAAAGUGAAUGUGCAUGAAUCUAUUAGUAACAUGUUUGCACGUGUAUUAAUCUUAAAAUAGUCAGUCUUGAAUAUUCCUGGAGGUAUAAAAGCCCUUGAGUUAUCCCUUCAAUGAUAUGAACACGUUUUUUCCAAUCCAAAAUAAGUCUUCUGAUGGGAUCUACAACAAAUAUAUAGUUUUGGACAAUAAGUGAUAUGCAAAUGAAUUUUAUACACAAUUAAUAUUAACUUGAUUUCAGAACAAACCAAAAAGGUAGCAAUCCAAGCUUUUGUUUGGCAUGUAUUCGUAGACCAGCAUCCGUUCCUCACUGUCAAUGCAAAAACCUAAAACUCUAAUAAGAUUUACAUGUUGGAGUUUUGCAGUAAGAAUAACCUCAUUCUUAAACUCCUCAAAUCCCUGUGCGGAUGAUUUCGAAAGUUUCUUCACUGCUAUCACCACUCCACAGGGUAAUACACCCUGCAACCCAAAAAAAAAACCACGUUCAUAUAAAGCUUUCACUAAUUAGAGACGCUGAGAAAUGUUAGCCAAACAAUAUGCUACCCCCCAAAGUUGAGGGCACCAUUUUAAGUCCUUUAAGUCCCCAUGGACGCAAAAUGUAAAUCUCCUCUCACAGAAUAUGGAUAUGGGUAGAGGUAUCUUCCUCAAAUGUUAGUCGAAGUAGUUAUAUCCCUCUAGUGUGAGGUUAGAGGUCUCAUCUCUAAUAGGCAUAGAGUUUUAAAUUAUAUGUUUUGGGCCUCUGAAUUCUACGACGAGUGUACAAAUUCAAACUUCCGAUAGGAUCCAAAUUGCAACAUUGUGGAUUGUAACAAAUUAAAAUAUAGGUACACACACACACACAUGUUACCUUGUAAACAGGACCAUAUCCACCCUCCCCAAGGUUAUUUCUAAUUGAAAAUCCCUCGGUGGCCGCCUCAAUAUCAGCCAAACUAUAUACUCUGAGAUUAGGAACAUUUCUGUUAAAGUCUCCAGCUUCUGUUUCAUUAUUUUCUCUCGUGUUUGAUGCUUUAGCAGAAUCCUCUGUUCCUAACAUCAACCAAGAGUAAAUAUUAGAUAAUUAAUUGUAUGUCAGCCUAAGUUUUAUAUAUAUAUGAAAUGCAUGCUUAAUUAUAAUUGGUAGCUGAAGCUUGUUACCUUCUAUUAACUUGAGCCUUUUCAUCUGGUUGUAUUUAUAUGCACAACAACUUAGAAGGAGAGUCAAAGCUGCCGCUGCAGUCGAAAUGAGUACCAAGGACAGAUGGCGGUUAUUACUAUGUUCAUCUUUGUCAGCUGAAGCAGAAGUAAUGCUGUCUUUUUGUGCAGGAAAUAUGUAUAGUUCACCAAUUAAUAAUAACUAGCUAGAGAUGCCAUAAAAAUCAAUAUUUAUUGGAGAGAACAAUUAUUGCAUAUAUAAAUACCUGCAGCUUGAGAAAGCACCCAAUUAUGAUCAUCACAAUCAACUCGCCACACAUAGUAACCAAGCAAUCUCUUCUCUUUGGCAUAGGCAAUCUUAGUUCUAACAGCCUCCACGUCAUCAAAGCCAAACCAAAUCGUCCGAAUCGAGCAGUAAUUCACCUCAUAAGUUGAAUUGUACAUAACUUGGACAUCAGGACCAUAGUCCUUGAUGUGAUUCUUGAUUUCCUUAUAAGUCGCAAGGCCGCUAUCAUACAAAGCUGGUCCUGUUGCUGCUGCACCAAUACCAUUGUCUUCAGGUUUCACAAGCCUCCAUGCAUAGCCAUAGAAAGGCAAACACAUAACCAACUUAUCUGCCGAUAAUCCUCUCUCAAUCCAUGCCUUUAAAACCUGAUCGGUACAUCUAGCAAAGCCGCCGCUACUUGAGCCAUAGAGAGCCGCAGGUGGCGCCGUGAAGUUUGUUGACAUAGGCUCGCAGUAGCUAGCAGUAACCGCAUGAACCCAAUUCAAGUUUCGUUGUAUCGAAUUCAAAAGAUAUGAAUUCGCUGGUGGUGAAUAACGAAAUCUUGCGGUCAAAAUCAGCGGGGAUUGCUGGCGACUAGAGUUUUUUGCCUCUAAUUUUGUAGCAGCAAUUCGCCACUCGUCAAAAAGUAAACCAAUAUUGAACAUAUCGGUGCUUGUUUUAGGAGCUGUCCAAGAAAAGUCUAGGCCCUGAAAGCCAUAAAGCCUAGCUAUUCUUAUUGAAGAGUCGAUGAAAGAUUUUCUGUGAGAAGGAUUUCUCACCAUUGAAGAAUAAAUAGAAUAGUUUGUAUCCUUUCCUUGUCCAAUGGAGAGAAGUAUAGUGAUUGAUGGGUUCUUUUUUUUCACGGUGUCUGCGAAUUUGGCGAUUUGAUUUUCAUCGGAUGGUAAUGAUAAAGAUAGCUGGUAAGUGGUGGAAUUGAUAUCAGCAGAAGAGCAAAUAAGGUGAGUGAAGAGAUCAUAAUUUAUGCCCGAAAUGGUGGACACGUCGCUUAGAUCCAAGUGACCGACCCUAAUCCACGGUUUUGCUUUCGCGGGAUGAAGUUCUGAAUAGCAACGUGUGGAAGAUGAUGCUGAUAAUUAUGGAUGCCAUUUGAGACUUUGUUAGGAAUGGAAAUGGAUCCGCAGAAGAGAAAUUAGAUAAACACUAGUUUCACAGUUCAUUUAAGUUCUUAUGUAAACUAUUAACGUAGAGGUUCAUUUCGUUCAGAAAAAAAUCUUAUGCGCUCCUGGAUAGGCACAUACAUUGCAUGUUAAGAUGAUGAUAGGCGAUGCGACCAUUGCCUAAGAACUAAGAUUUUCUUCCGUCGCUUGGGUUGGCUGACUUUCCAUGAAGAAAAAUGAUGUUUUGAUUGACAUUUGGUUUAACUGAUGACAAAUUUCAGGCUAUAAAUAUCAGUAUUGUUUUAUUAAAUAAUAAAAUAUAAUAAUUUUACAUGUACGUUGAAAGUUAAUAACUUAAUAUUGCAGUCUUUUGAGACUGUGUUGACGUUUAUUCGGGUGCAUUCGUUUAUUAUAUAUUCCCGUUUUUCUCCCUGUGUGUUUGCUACAGUGCUCUUAAAAGAAUAACAUGUUUUUUUUCGACAAUAAAAGAAUAACAUGUUUAAAGCAUGUAAAUGCACCUCAGAAGUAGUUAAGAAAGACUUGAUAAAAAACCAGACAUUUUCUCUCUACUCAAAAAGUAGUUAAGACUGUAUGAACCAAUUAAAACGUCAGAUUCAUACUAUAACUAUGAUGAUUCAAUAAGACCUUCAAACUAAAUCCACAGAUUCCAUGAGUAAGAAACAAUGGAUCACAUUUUUUUAAGUUUAUGCUUUGAGUAAAAUAAAAGUAGAAACAUGAAUUUGAAAGAAGCAAUUUAGUUAUAAAAAAUUGUCAAGUAAUUAAUUGUUUGGCAUUUAUUUUAUGGGUCCCAACCCAUGUGAUCCGUAAAAUGAGACACCUUAUGUGAUUGGGUGCGCCAUGGUGCGCUAACCUCAUAUAAGCUUCUCUCUUCUUACGGAUAUAACUGUAUAUGGGUGGCAUUAUGUAGUGCCCCACAUGGGCUCUUUAAAAUUAUUUUAUGUGCAUUUUAAACAUUCCCUCGUUAUUGAUUUGAAACACUAAAAAUGCCUCUCUUAAAUUUUAAAAAUAUAUAAAAAAAAUUGCGUGUUUAAAGAAUGCUUGAUGUCUCUAGCCUAACAGUUAGCACACCUAUUGUAUACACUUUUACUUUUUUCUUCUCUAAACUUUCACUCCUCUUUUCUCUGAUUCUUCACACUUCACUGAUCUUUUAUCUCUAAAAAAAUUAAACUGUCUCUAGAAGCUUAUUACUAAUUUUCUGAUCUAAUUAUUUACAUAAGUAUUCUUGAUUGAUUAUCACUUCUUUAAUUUUUUGAGGGGGAUUUCUCUUGGAUGAAAGAAUUAAGGUUAUGUUCUAAGAAAAUUUUAACUCCCAUGUUAUAGUUUUGAUAAUGAGAUUAUCCUUAAAUUUUCAAUAUAUGAAAAUACUUCGAAACAACUAUUAAUUCGUUGAAUGAAACAUCCUAAUGAACUUAGAUUUUGGUACUUAUUAUUUAUUGAACUUUUUCUUUUAAAUUACAUUACUAUUUGAAGUGUGGCGGUAUAUGGUCUCUAGUCCAAAUGACGAAAUCAAAUCACCAUGUGCAUUAGUGUUUUGUUUGUGUGGUUGGAGGGGGGGGGGGGGGGGCGGUGUUUUUUAUUGGUGCAGGAAGAAAGCUCUUCAGGACUACUCGGAAAAAUAUAUAUAUAUAUAUGAGCAACACAUAGUCCAUUUCGCAUUGCAUAGAAGUAAAACCGAAGCAUUACACAAAAAGCACACGUUAUUUAUAUUUUUAGUUAUUGAUAAGAAAAUUUUUUCCCUCUUAUUAUCAUCUUAAUUAAGAAAAAUAGUAAUUCGUUUAACUGUUUGCGAAAAAUGAUGGCAAUAUACAAUAAUAUUGUGUUGAUGACCUUGAAAGCUAAUUCUUUUGAAACAGGAAAACUGGUAUCGUAUUCAAAACACAUAAAAGACGUAUCCAAGCUUUUAAUGUGAUCUAAAGAUCUCAUAGCUACAUUCGAAAUUAAUAAAUGAUCCCUAAGAGUUACGAAACUGAUAUCAAUGAAAUUACAAACUCUUAAGAGUUUAUAGAACAUUAAUUGAUCCAAAUCCAAUACAAACUGCUUACUAGUACAGCCUCAAGAGAGCCAUUUAUUUUUCAGUAGGCAAAUUAAGCAACUGCAGCAGUCACUAGCAGCUUGCCAAGAGCUAGCAUAGAUCAAUUGUUCAUCUUCAUAAGCUUUCUUUGAGAAAGUUUCAAGCUUCUUUGGAGUCAUUAUAUCGGCUGUGUUCUCGUUUUUGAGCAUCGAAUAAACUUCCAGCAUAGAAGGUCUACCGUUUGGGUUCUCCUGAACACAUAACAAAGCUAUUUGCAGACAUGUCAAUAAUUUCCAUGAGGAAUGCGCAUCAUCUAGUGAUGGAUCCAUUAACUUUAUGCCUUUCCCAUCCUUCCACAACUUGUAGGACUGAAAACAUCAAAUAUGUUAUUGAGUUACAUUCAAUUAAAUAGCACUAUAAAGUUUUGACCAAUUGUGCAUUAUAAAGGGGGUUAUACAGAAACUUACAUAGUGUACAAGGCUUAAAUUUUCAUUAUGACCAUAUUAAAUAAAAAAUCUCCUUCCAUUUAUAAUUUGCAAAAGUAAAAUCUCAAAACUGUAGACAUCAUAUUUAGUAGAGUAGAUGCCUCUUCUACAUACCCAGGAGGGAUGUAGCCAUUGUGGUACCGAUUAAUUACAAACGUCAUUGAAAUUGUUUGACCUAAAAGAUUAAGUUGAUUGGUAAAUGUUUAACAAUAGUAUUAAAGAUAAGUCGAAGAAAAUAGACAUAUAUAUACUUACUGUGUUCCAACAAUUCGAUUUGUGUUUGCUUCAAGAUCAUCUUUCACAAAAAUUCUAACGAAGUCAAAAUCUGAUAUUUUUGGUUUCAAAUCUUCAUCCAACAAAAUGUUACUAGCUUUCAAGUCUUAAUGAAUAACUAUUAAUCUAGAAUAUUCUUGAAGAUAGAAAAGCCCUUGAGUAAUUCCUUAAAUGAUAUGAAUGCAUUUUUUCCAAUCCAAAAUAAACCUUCGGAUGGGAUCUACAUCAAAUAUAAGUAUAGUUGGACGGUCUGUAGCAUUAGCAUUUAGAAAUGAGAAAUGCAAAUAAAGGAUUUCGUAAAUGAAGAAUUGCUCGCUGGAAGAAUAAGUUGAAUAAUCUGCAUUUCCUCCUCCGAUGGAAAGAAGGGUAGUGAUUGUUAGGUUCUUUGUUUUCAUAGUGUGUGUGAAGUUGAAGAAUUGUUCCUCAUCAGAAGAUGACAAAGAAAGUUUGUAGGACGUUGGAUCGACAUAAGCGAAACCACAAAUAAGGUGAGUGAAGAGAGCACAUUAUUUAUAUCUAAAAUGGGGAAGCCAGGCCUGGUUCCCAAAUACUAGCUCUGAUUAAAGUUUUUGCUUUUGCAGGAAGCGAUUCUGAAAAUAUAAAAAUCUGGAGGACCUAAGUGACAAAUUUGGAUGCCAUUUUGGAAAGCCAGCUGCCUGAAACAUGCCCAGUCUGUAUGUGUUUUUAUACACACACACAGAAAUUAUCCUAUAUUGACCGAGAUUAGUUAUGGUCCUAAAUAAUAUAUGUUUUAAGCAACCCUUAACCCAUGAGUUAAAGUUUAUAAACAGUAUCAGAGUCAGGUUAUGGACAAAUGCGCUUAUAUUACCAGACUAAAAUAUCAGCGUGCAUUUGAUGGAAUGAUAGGAAAAAUAUCCCACCUUAGUUAAGAUUAGUUACUAAGUUAAUAAUAUAAGAUUAAGGCAAUCUUCCACUCAUAUAACGCAAGAGUAUGAAUCACAAUUUAAUAAAACUAGGUCAAUUCGAUUUUUUAUAAAGAUAUAUGAGCUACAACUUGAGGUCGCUCACGAGUGGGGACGAGUUAGAUUAAGGCAAUCUUCAACUCAUAUAAUGUUGAUCAUGGACCGAAUCAACAUAGGAAACAAAAGUCGAGGAAGUUGAAUCUCCUUGCCUUCAAGUUGCAUGGAUGGGAGUCAUACAACGAAAAGGUUGUCUUCGUUCAAUGACGAUCGGCUUGAAGUUCUUAAAUUAAGCUACGGCGUUUGCCUCCACUUAGCUUGACUUCUGAAGCUGGAGACUCUUCCUUUUGUAUUGGCUUCGUUGGUACUUAAAUUACCUCGGAGUCUCGGAUGUGUUUCUGAAGCCAUGUCAUUGUCUACGAGUAGAAUUUUUUUUUUUUUUUUUUUUUUUGGGGGGAAGAAAGAGGAAGUCUAUCGGAAAAGUAGUAAAAUGAUAUUUUUUGUAAAGAUAUAGUAGGAAAAUGAUAGGGAGCAAUACUUCUUGUAGUCAUUUGAUAUUUGUCAAAUUUUAAAGUAGUGAAAUGAUAAUAACCCAAAAAAAAAAACAAAACGUUUUUCAAUCAAAAACAAAAAUAAAGAAAUAAAUAGACAAUCCCAUGUAUAAAAAGCUAACCGGGAAUGGUGAAGACGACACUGACAUCCUCCGUUUCUCUAUUAAGCUACUUCAAGUGUUUAAGGUUUUUGAUAAUUAUAGAAAUUAAGAAAUAACAUGAAGAAGAAUGAUCAAUUAGGGGAAGUGAUUGAAGUUGAUGUGGGUUUGGACGGUGGAUGAUGAAAGCUGACUUUGUUUUGUUAUGUAAAAUCAACGGUGCCCAAAAGGCUGUUCUGACGCAGAUGCUUCACUUCCUUGCAUACUGCUGUAGAAAAAAAUGGUUUUUUUCUAUCUAAAGGUUAAUAGUUUAGUUUGGUGAAAAAGAAUUUUAAGUACAGUAAAAUUUUUAUAAAUUAAUAAUUUUCUAUCAUAUAAAAUUUAUUAAUUUAAAAGAAGUAUUAAUUAAUCUAUAUUAAUAAUUUAUCAAUUUAUAAAGUGUAUAUACAAUUCGAUAAACAUACAUUUUAAUCAAUUAAAAUUCAUUGUAUUUUACCAAUCUAAUAAAUUAAAAAUGAAUUAAUCUACUAAAUAUAAAUUAAAUUAAUAAAAAAAUUUAUAAUUCUUACAAUUUCAAAAUUCAACCCUUAAACUUCUAGAAGUGAUACGCAUAGCAUUACUCAAUUUAAAUUCAACCCUUAAAAUCAUGGCAAGAGAAUAGUGAAGAAAAAAGAAAAGAAAAGGAAAAAACAAACUCACAAACACUUAGUUAUCGACCUCUAUGGCCUAUGCCACUGGCCUGUAGAACUAACUCCCUCAGAAAUGAUUUCAAGUUCCUGUAAUUUUCUGUAUAAAAUGAGAGCAUUUUCCUCUUUAAAGCAGGGGCAGUAACAGUGUCACAAUAGAAAGCAUUCUGAUGGUAAGAUUAAGUAGUAUUGUGAUUUUAAUUGGGGGGAAAAUGUCCCAUACGCUUAUUUCCUUAUGUGAUUUAGAUUCAAGUCAAGACGACCCUCCAUUUUAGUAUAAAAGUCUAUACAAAUGUACGUUUUACUCAAUGUUUACGUAGAAACAAAUGAUUUGCUGAUUUAGUACCACUCUUGUUUACUGGGUGGGAUUUGGCUCCUCCAAAUUUGUAGCCAAUAUUUUACUUUGAUGAGAAAAUCAAAUAACGUUUCAACAAAUAAUUUUUCUUUUCUACGUACUUUCUUAAAACGUAUGGAGUGAGUAAAGUACAAAUUGAUUUUUUAGCCCUUUGACUCUUCCAUAUUCAAACUCAAAUUAGUGGUCUGUUAAAUAUUGCUACUUAAAAUCAUUCAGCCAAAUAUUGUAAAAACUAUAAUUUCACAAAGUCAAAGUUUCAUUGAUUAUUGAAUUGUAGAGUGUGCUAUCAUUUCCUAGCUAAAAAUUUGUUUAGUUCUAUUAAGUUUCAAUCAUUUUUUAUUUUAUUUAAUUAAUUAAAGUGAAUUUAUUAUGUAUAAAUGCUAUUUAUGUGAAAUUUUAAAAUCCAGUGCUAAAUUGAAUUGUACUAAAUUUUUAUAAUUUUUUGUCACACCUGCAUUUCUAACAGUUUAGUAUAAAUAUUGAGAGCAAAUAGUAUAUAGGAUUAAAAGAGAUUGAUUUCGAGUGCUACAAGAUUUUUAGGAUUGCAUGCGCAAGGGUUUAAAAACAAAGUGUGCAUUUAAUUACACUAAACGUAGGUGCAUUUUUAUGAUGAAAUAAAAACUGGUUGUAUAAAUGGCUCCAUAAUUAGUGUACUUAAUAUCCAUCUAGCUAUCACUUCCGAAAAUGAUAUCAGAAGCCGAACACAUUUCCAACUGUAUUUUAGAUAAUAGUUCAAUCCCAAUUUCGUCAACUUGUUUUGAGAAAGCAGGCUUCUUGGGAGAAUUUAUAUUUCGUCAACUUGUUUCGUCAAUUUGUGCAUAUAAAUGUCUAUCAUUUGGAUUCUCCUGGACACACAACAAAGCUAUAUCCAGACGUCUCAUUAAUUUACAAGUGAAAUUUGUAUAAUCUCGUGAUGAAUCCACAAACUCCAUAUAUAUUUUUUUUUUUACCACGAGGUAUCAUGGGGAGGGCCCCAACUGUGGGAGGCACCUUUAAGUCCGUACCACAACUCAGACUAGAAGUCCCCGCUCGAACCGAGAGGCACAGGUUCUCCCAACAAAGGCGACUUCCCUACGACUUGAACUGGGGAGCAAACCCAGUCAAGCCAUUUAAGGGGACUCCAUUGCCAGUGGAGCCAACACUUUGUUGGUUAAACUGGAUAUUUUAUCUUGCUACAAACUCCAUAUUUUCACAACUCAUAUGCCUGAAAUUAUCAAGUAUUAUCUUGCUACAUAUUUUAUACUACUUAGUUAAGUGCAUAUAUAUAUAUAUAUAGACACAUACACACACACACACUAAAGGUUACUAUAGCCAAAGAAAUUUACAUGCUCUAGAAGACUUAAAUUUCCAUCGAUGCCACAUAGGCACAUAACAUAAAAAGACUUUUCCCAGUUAUCAUUCGUAAAAGUAAGACUUCAAAACUAAAAAUGUUUGAUUCGGUAGAGUAAACAUCUCUAUGAGUGUAUUUAGGAGGAAUAUAACCUCUACAUUUGAAAAUAACCAACACUCACUACUACAAAAAUGACUUUUACUGACACUUUGUUUCUGACACUUUGAAAAAAGUGUCAGUAAUUACCUAACUAUGCACAAUUUUCCGCUUUUAACAAAUAAAUGUCACAAAUUAUUAAUACUAAUGUAUCAGUAAAUUAAAUAUUAGAGAUCACUGAUACUUCAGCAUCAGAGAUCUAAAAAGAAUCAUUAAAAUUUGUUUUGAUUUUAACUCGAACCUGGGAUUUCUAAAACUCAAAACUUUUACGUUUAGAUUGCAAACCACUGGACCCCAUAAAAUUGAGUUGGAAUUACAAUGUUAUAUAAAAUAUUAACAUAUAAAAAACCAAACCCUAAUUCCCCUUUUCCAUUGUGCAAUAGAGCCCAUGCCGCAGCUGCUGCGUAAUUUCCUUGCCUUUCUUGACUUCUUCUUCUCUAUCGUGAAAGAUGGAGAAUGACCAGGCCCAAACGCCCACGCCCACAGCCGCGCCCAACCCCCACGGCUGCGCCCACCCCCACGCCGUUGCCACUAUCACUUCCGUUCAAGUGGUUCGACACUGCAGGUACUAAAUUAAGAAUUUAAAACAUGUAAAACGAAAGUAAAACAUAUCCCAAACUUAGCAAUUGUCCCCAUCUCCCUGUCUUUUAUACACACAAAUCUCUAACCCAAACUCAAACCCAAAACUGUCUCUUGCCUUUCUCUUUCUCUUUCCUUUUUCUCUUCUCGAUCUCUUCCUUUUUUUUCUGUCCAUUCACAAACUCGUUCAUUUAACUUAAAUAGAUAAUAUAAAGCUAAAACCCUAAGUGAGGCUUUUAUUCCCUUUUUCCUUUUUUUUCCCAAAUUGAAAAACGGACCAAAACCGUAAUCGAGGCUUCUUUUAUCAAUUUUUUUUCUUUUUAUGGUCAAAUUUCACUUUUUUUUUGUUCAAUAUUCAAAACCCAUUUGCUUGAAUUUGAAUAAAAUUAUUGAGAAAUUAGUUAAUUUUCUUGCUAUGGAAGGGAUACCACACCUUAUACGUAGACCUGUGAAGGAGAUUUUCAAUGACUUUAAGGGCAAACAGGUUGCCUUGAUUAAGGCUUUAACUGCUGGUAAUGGCUUAAUAUUUUAUUUUCUUUGUCAAAUUAAUUAAUAAUUUUUUUUUAUUUUAGCUUAUCAUUAUUAGGGUUUUUUGUUAAUUUUAAUUUUCUGGGUUGUUGCAGAUGUUGAGAAAUUCUGCCAGUGGUGCAGUCUUGGUGGGAUUUCUUUUCCAUAUCUAUUUUUUGUUUAUUUAAUUGUAAUUUGAAUUUUUUUCUUUUUUUUCCUAUAUUUCUAUAUUAUAUAGAUUGAAUGGCUGUGUAUUUCAUAAUUAUUAAGUGUUAUUUAUUGCUCUGUUUCAUGUAAAGAUAGGCAAAUUAUGUUAUAGAAACCAACAUGUUUAUUUUUUUAUUUUUUUUAGUUGGAAGAUUUUUAAUAGAGACAAUGACUAUGAUAUGAAUUAACUAAGUUCAUGAUUUGUCUUUAAUUCAAGAAGAAAAUGCUUGUUUUUAGGUAGUUUUGCUUGUUGUAGCACUUGAAGACUUACAUUUUCUUUGUUCAUUUGCACGGUUAGUUUCGCUCUUAUUCAGAAAUUUCUGUGUUUCCUCACUUGCAUGGUCAUUAAUUCAUUCCAUGAUUUUUCUUCUGUAAACACACUUUUAUUUUCCUUUCACUAGUUUGAAGGAAUUUAUUUUUUUAAAAUAAAAAAUUCUAAAGAUUGAAAUGAAUUGAAAUUGUUGCUAUAAUGUACUUUCUUUGCUGCUGAAGUUCAAGGAAUGUCUAUUUAAAUGAACUAGAACUUGAAAAAUCUUGAAGUGUUGUUGUACCCAUAGACUUCAUUUUUUUUCCUGCACAUUACACUUAUUUUGUUCAUCUUCUUACCUUCAAUUUGUCGUAGAGGUUAACAAUGAUUGACGAGAAAUGGAGGUUUGCAUUUACUGCGGCUGAAUCUCAUGAACAAGAAGUUGGCAAACUGAGGUCUGUAUUUUUUCCUCAAAUUCAUAGUUGAAUUCAUAGUAAGCUCAAAGCAAUUGAUUGAGGGAGAAAAUAAAUUGAGUUUUAUUUAUUAGUAUAAUUUUUGUUAUUUAGUGCUUUACACUCUUCAUGACAACUUCUGCGAUCUUGUCCUAUUACCUUAAGGUACUACUGGAUAUUUGAGAAAAAAUUAAAAAUUAUUAAGAUUAUCUUUCUUUGAUGAUAGAAUUACAAUAUGUCUUCUCACUUAUUAUAGUUCAUCCAAUUUUAUUUUUGUUGCACAGUCUGUGGAAAUCAGAGUACCACAUUUAAGAGUUUUUAUAAAAUGUCUCCUUUACCUUUCCUAUUAUUUAAACUAAUUUCAUGUGUAUUUCUUUAGUUAAUGAUUGAUUUUCAAGUAGUUGAAGGAAAGUAACUUGUAGAACCUCCUUCUAAAAUUGGUCUGGAACCUUUGUGUGCAAUGGUUAGUGAAAUCAUAAUCCGUGGCUUGUGUUAAUAUGCAUCGAUUGUGUGAAAACUAUUGUUUACUAUUUUCUGUGGCUGGUUAUUAACAUGAUUCACAGAUAAACAACAAUAGACUCAUACCCAUAUGCUUGCUUGUUUUCAACAAGCAUUUUUUUUUUGUAGGUUUUUUUUUUGUGCGUCUCUCUUUGAAGAAUAAUAUGAUUAUCUUACACGAAAUGGGGAAAUUCCAUUAUCUUGCUGCAAGUUUUUUCCUAGUUCUAUAGUUCUACCGUUUUGUAUCACCUUGGAUGACAUGUCGAGUGAAUCCUGGAACAUCAUUUUAUCUUGUUUGUACCUAUAAUACGUUGUGUUCAAUGUUCUUGAAAUUUUUGGGCAUGGCUGCAAACAAAUUUAGCAGUUUUUAAUAGCCAACUAUAGAGUCAAUUUAAAAUUUGUCUAGGUGGUGAGUUUCUAUGGUUUUGUAAUUGGGGUGAAAGGUAGCAAAUACUAAUCUUGUCUAAAGAGCAUUUGUGUAAGAUUACUUGUGAGUAUAGUGGGGCAGCAUAUAUUAGUAUUUUUAUGAAAUAAGCAGAAAAAGGGAUCCCUUUCUAUUGUCAGCAAUAAAAAGAAUUUUCAAAAAUGUAAACACCAAGCGUUCUAGUUGUAUUGUUAUUUGCAAAGAUCUUUUCAAUGUAUUUGUAGAUCCCAACAUACCUUGAUGCAUGAUCAAUUAGUCUGAAGAAUGUUGAGGAUUAUGUCAUUUUGAGCUGUUUAUCAGGUAGUUUGAGGUUAGAUUUGUUUUUUGGAGUAUUAGCUUGGAAUCUGAGUGCUUGCCUAAUUUGGAGAUUGGUGUGUGAUACUUCAAUAGCCUUUUUUUGUGGACUCCCUUUUGACAUUUUGUAAUUAUUGUUCUUAUUAAUACUAAUUUCUCUGUUUCCUAUAAAAAAUAAAUAAAUAAUGAAGGAUAGGUUUUUAUAUGGUAAGGAAUGAAUAAAUAUUAUAAGCAUUUAUUGGAAAAUAAAACUAUGCAGCUUAUUUAGUUGUUUUCCUAUUUAGUGAUAAAUUAAAAUUUUUGGCUUAAUUAUAUUCGGAUAUAUAAACACCAAGUUUUCAGUGUUAAGAUGGAAAACCAACGUCUUUAAAAUUUAUGAAUUGUUAAUACUGAAUCUUUUUUCAGUUUCAGUUAAAAAACAAAAAGGCCCUUCUUUUUUCUAUCUUCAAAUUUUGUGUGAUAGAAGUAUACUGUUGGGCCUUUCUUAUCAACUUUAGCUUUUGGGAUUAUUGUUGGUUUAACUUUAGAAUUAUUUGACCCAGAGAUUUUAUGUUCCAUUAAAUAAUAACACUCAAUACACUGGAUUUAGUUCAUGUUUAUUAAAUUUGGAUUUUUAUGUGAGACGGUACAAGUAUUGGGGAUUAGUGGUCUCUCAACAUUAUGAUCGAAAACCAGCCCUCACUGCCAAUUUGUAUUUUAAGCCCAAUAUUCAGUCCUUGAUCACUAUCAAACUUCCAUAAUCAUUUCUUCUUCAUAUUCUUAUAAAUCAGCCUCAAACUCUAAAGAAAAACCUAAGCCAUUCUCUGUAAGGGGUAAGCGUCUGUUCUUGUUCGGAUGAAGGUGCCAAGUUUUAUUUUGCUCUUUAACGUUAACAAGUCAAUUCCCCAUGAUGUGUUAGGUGAUUUGUUUGUUUCAUGCUGUUUAUUUCCUCGUCUUUUUUUUCUUCUAUCUACUGUUCCUUUAUGAAUUUGCCUCUAGGCAUUUUUGCAGUUGCUUACUAUGAAAUACAAUGGGCUUAUGCUAUAUUUUGUAAAAAUAACUAUGUAAUUCAAUCUCCAAAUUAGUUAAUCUUCUUAGUUGGCUUUGUCUUUGACUGUUUUUUAUAUCAAUUAAUUUGUUUCGUUGUGUACAGGUUAAUUUCUAUUGUUGGAGCCAUGAGUCUGCUGAACACAUUUUUCCUAACAGAGGUUUGGGAUAUGGACUUGCCCAAUUUUUGUCUGUUUUGUUUCUAGGUUAUUAUGUAAAAAUUUUAUAAUGGUUUGCUUUGCUUUGGGUUAUGAUGUAAAAACUUUGUAGUGGUUUGCCUCAAAUGUUUCUGUUAUUAUGUCUUUGGUCUUAUCCUAAGAUACGCUAUAUUCUUAUUCCUCAAUUUUUACCCCUGGAUUGUUUAAUGAGUUUCUAAUUUUGGAUGUAUACUAAUAAAUCUCCAUUUAUCUUUCUUAAUCCUUAGGAUUUUUUUUUUAUUUUUUUUAUUCUUCUUAAGUUGAGUUGUGUAUAGAUCUGUAGGAAAAUCCACUCAAAUUCAAUUCUUAGCAGAUAAAUAUUCCUACCUAUUACAAUUAGCUUGCACUAAGAGAGCUAUGUAUUGUUUUUGCCCCAUUCUUUGUUAGUCUCUUUGAACACUGAAAUUGGCCUGAUUGUUUUUUCUCCCAAAAAUUCAAGAAUUAUUUUUUGUGGUAUACUAAUUGAUUUUAUGUACUUGUAGGUGGGAAAAGAAAAAUGAAGCCGCUUGUGGAUGUUCAAUGACAUUAUGUGCUUCUUUUUGUUGGUUAAUAUUUGUUGAAUCUUAACAUAGUACUUGGUUGUUAAGAGCUUGUCCAAGACUUAAUUUAGUAUUUAUAUUUUUCUUUUCCAAACAAUGAUGUAGUUGAAUGAUAUGAAUUUGAGUGAUGUAUUUGAGAUGUCUCUUAUGCAAUUGUGUUGCGAGAUUUUGUAUAUUUAAUAUAUUUUGAGUUUUCUUUCAGUUGUAAAACAAAUAGGAAAAUAUAAUUAAAAUCAAAGUAUACUAUUAACCAAAAGAAUCAUAACAUCACUAAAUACUGACACUAAAUGUUUAAAAUAACAGUAAUAAUUUUUUAUGUUAUUGAGUCAGUGUGCUCUUGAUACUGUAGUCUCAUAAAUUACUGACAUAUAAAUAGUAUCAUUAAAUACUAACGCUAUCGUGUCAUUAUUUUAGUGAUACCAUAAUGACAUGAAUUACUGACACAAAAAUCGCUGACACUAAAAAUUAGUGUCAGUGUGUUCUGUCUGGAGAAUUAUUGACACAAUUAAUAAGUGUCAGGAAAAGUAAUUACUGACACUAAUUUAGCGUCAGUAAAGCCCAUUUUUCUAGUAGUGACUAUUUCAGUAUGUCUCUCUCUCUCUCUCUCUCUCUCUCUCUCUCUCUCUCUCUCUCUCUCUCUCUCUCUCUCUCUCUAUAUAUAUAUAUAUAUAUAUAUAUAUAUAUAUAUAUAUAUAUAUAUAUAUAUAUAUAUAUAUAAUCAGCUUCAGGUCUGGAAUUUAAAUUUGUAAAGAGUCUACAAUAUCGUAAAUUGCAUUCAUCACUGUUUUACAAUGGUCUAAAUUUUAUUAUAAAUGACUGUCAAAAAAUUAAUACAUGGUUAUCAUUUAUGAUUAUAAUUAGAACAUUAAAAUUCAAGUCGACUCAUUUGUCUUUACAUUGAUGUAUUCUUUGCGAUUAUACUUAGAAUGUUAAACAAUUAAGUUGAAACGACCCGCCCCAAAUCUCCAGGACAAGUCUAUCUAAUCUCGCCUAACCGAAUUAAUAAUAGUUCUAAUAUCUAAGAAUUCUACCAAAACUUCGGCAGAGUCUCUUAUAUAAUUAUUACAUCCCCAAACUUGUAAUUUAUAAAAUUAACACUCCAAAAAAUAAUACAAUAUUUAAUCAACCUCUACAACCAACUUCCUCAAUUUAAACACCAGUAUCCUUCAAACAUAUAAUGUCAAGAAUACAAUAAUUUAUCCUUAAUCGCAAAUAAGUAAUAAAUUAUACAAUUCAAAAUAUCCCAACAAAGCAUCUAUGAUUUUUAACACCAUCAUGUGGCUAUAGUUUCAAAUCUAACUAUCGUUGUUGGAUCGACUGAUGUACCUGCAAAUCUCCUAGGGAGGGGGGGAAAUAUAAUAAAAAUAUGGUGAGUAUAAAACUCAGUGAGCUCAGUGAGUGGUGGGGGUGGGCAAAAUCGGGUUCGGGUCAACGCGAUCGGGUUUCGGGUUGUUCGGGUUAGACAAGAACCAAUUCGAACAUAACCCGAAUUAUUGACCCAACCCGAACCGACCCGAACUGGAUCGGGUUGGAUUUAAAACGGGUUGGAUUGAGUUCGGGUCAAUUCGGGUUAGUUCGGGUCAGCGUGUGUGUGUGCUGUGCAGCUCGUGUGUGUUCUGUUCUGUUCUGUCAUUCUGCAUUUCUGUGUGCGUGCUGUGCAAGUGUGCAGCUUGUGACUUGUGUUGUGUGUGUGCAACAGCGUAUGUGUGUGUGGGUGCGGCUGUGUGCUUUGCAGCUUCUAACAAGUUGUGUGUGUGUGUUGUGCAGCAGCCAAGCAGCGUGUGUGUGUGUGUGUGUACAGUGUUAGCUUAGCUUAGGUUUUUUUUUUUUUUUUGAGAACCCGAUCGGGUAUUCGGAUCGGGUCGGGUUUGACCCAAACCGAUCACAACCCGAUCGGGUUUGUAAAUUUCAAACCGCUCGGGUUUCGAUCCCGACCCGAUCCGACCCGAACCCGAAAUUUAUCGGGUCGGGUCGGGUCGGAUCGGGUAAAAUGCCCACCCCUAGUGAGUGGAUAGUAGUUUAGGAAAAAUAAUUUAUUUAAAAUGAUUUAAUCUUUUCUAAAUCAAUUUCAUCAAAAUAUCAUAAGAACUUACAUAAACUUAUUUAAUUCAAAUCAUGCACUGAAAUAACAAUAUUACAUAAAUCUGCAUAAAAUCAAUGAAAUCAUAAUACUUAUUGUUAGCCUAUAUGGCUAUAAAUAUUGAUUUUGAUGAUAACAAACCACAUGUGUUAGUUAAACAAAGAUUUAUAAAUUGUGCUUUUAUAAUAAGAAAAUGAUUUUAUGGAAUUAAAGUGUUUUGGACCAAAAUAAAAGUAUUUUAUAAUCUUUGAUAUUGUUUUGAAUUUCGGAUUUGGACCUAUUUAAAUAUUUUUGGGCCAUUCUAUAAUUUCACAUAGUUUGGGCGAUAUUCUAAUUUCAAAAAUUUUUGGGAUUGACAAAGUAUUAUUUAGAAAUUCUAAAAUUGGACCUAUUUGAACACUUUCAUAACAUUUUAGGCCAUAAUAUAAUUUUAUAAAGUUUUGGGGUCGAAUUAUAAUUUUGGAAAACAUUUCACUGUAGCAAGCAGAUAUCUGGAUCCUAACAAAUGGUAGACCGGAUUUGGGCAGAAAGCUUCUGGAACUUAAACGGCUAUCCGGAUUUCACAAGCGGUAUACCAGAUGUUCAAAAAUUUAAAUUUUGGCUAUAACGGUAACAUUACGCGGCUAACCGGAUGUCCAUAAAUGGUAAGUUAGUUAUCACCUAAAUGUGCAUAACGGCUAGUUUUUGAGUUCAAACUAUAUAAACCCAAAUCCAAUUCAUUUUCAAGCUCUUUUGCAAACAAAAUCAAAAAGCACACAACAUUCAUUGAGCUCUCAUUUCGCAAAUCAUAAAACCUUGAAUCAUAUUUUGUUCUUCAAUUUGUAUAUCUACUCUUUAAGAGAGUUUUUAUUGUAAUCUUCAAUUCCUCAUCUUAAUUGUGAGUGUUUAAGUGUGUGAGACACUUGAGUGAAGAGAUUGAGAGAUAAUCUCUUUGUUGUAAAGGUUCAUUGACACCUUAAAGUCAAUUGUAACCAUUUGAAGCCUUAGAAGGCUUGCAUAGUGAAAUCAUCAAGCUUGGAUUGCUUGGAGGCGUGGACGUAGCCGGGGAUUGUCGAACCACGUAAAAAUUCGUGUGUUUGUUUCUUUUCUCCCUUACUCAUUUGUUAUUGUACUUUUAUUGAACUUAUUGCUUUCGAAUUUAUUAAGGCGUUAGAUUGGAUUGUUGUGUGGUUUUGUUAGGAUAAUUUUUAAAAAUACCAAUUCACCCCCCUCUUGGGUUGCACACUUGUAUUUCACCUAUAAUAUCAAAUACUGAAUACCAAAAACUAUCACCAAACAAGUACCCGGGGGAAUAAUCUCAUCAUAUUCGGACCUCGACGGACGGGCAAUCAGGGAACCAUCAUACCCCGGAGCUACAACGGAUAGACGGGGAAAUGUCAUCUCAUAUCUCAUGUAUCUCAACAUCUGUAUCUUUGUAAUCAUCAUACUGCAUGCAUAAGCCUCCAAAAGGAAAAAGCGCCCAAACACACAGCCAAAAGCCUCUAUGUGUGUUCAGACGGGCCUCAAAGACCUCUCAUCUCAUAUCAUCUGUAUCAUUGUGUUCAUCUUAUAUUAUCUGUAUCUCUGUGUCUUAAGGGGAAUGAUAUUGUCCAAUGAUUUUCCAAACAACCUUUUAUAAACAUGUACAUAAACAUAUAAUCACAUCUGAAAUCUCAUUUCCUUUUAUUCAACAUAUCUCAAAUCCACUCAAUUCUAAUAUCAUGCAUUUACUCAAAAAAAAAAUGAUAAUAGAAUCAUUAAUCAAACUCAUUUUCAAUACUAAUAAAUAUCAGCACGUAAAAUAAAAAUCAAUUUUCUAGAAAAUCAUUAAAUCGAAGCAUCAAAUACUUAUCAUCAAAACAUGUUGUACUGUAUAGUAAAAUCAUAGUAUACUAUGAAAAUAGGUUUUGUAUAUUCCACUCACAGUGACAAUGUCCAGACUCGGGAUCACCAACGUCCGCAGGUUAAUUCUCGCUCGCGGGUCCUCCUAAUUACAUAAACGACAUAAUUAUUAUCCAUAUCAUGAAAUACGACUAACAGUACGAAAUAAAGCUCAAAACCAAACUCCCGGAUACAUAAAAUUUCAAAAUUACCCUUAUGUCCAAAAAUUACCCAAAUGCCCCUGACACCGAAAUUUACCAAAUUACCAUCAGAAUCAUAAUUUAUCGAAUCAUCCUCAAUAUCUUAAAUUACCAAAUUGUCCUUAAUUCGGAUAACAAAAUUAAUCACAAGUUUUGAAUUUACAAAAUUACCUUCGAAGUACAAAAUUACCAAAAUGUCCUUAAUAACUUAAAUUACCGAAUUACCCUCGAAAUCUCAAAUUACUUCUCUGUCCUAAUCACAAAUUACCAAAUUAUCCACCAUUUUCAUAAAUUACAAAUUUACCCCAAAGUUUUAUGAAAUUACCGAAUUACCCUUGCCGGUCAACGGUGACCUGACUUCAGUCAAUGAUGACGGGAAGCUCAGGUCUAAUAGUUCAGACCUCGGUGAAUCCAACGAUGCUGGCGGUGACCUCCCACGCGCGGCGAUGGUGGCAGAUCGAAGCUCCAAAAUUCGUGAGUUUCCCGGUGUUCGUUCGCGGCCAAGACAGCAUCCCCGGUGAUCGUGGUCAGUUGGAAAGUGAUAAGUGUGAGUUGAGAAACAAGAUCCAGGCAGUGGCGUGGCUAAAAAUCCGACGGGAUCGACGGCGACAGAAACGGGUUGAGUCGCGGCUUUUCGAGCUUCAAACGGCGGCGUUUCGGUCGGCUUUUCUUUGAUUUGUUAUUUUGAGUUGUAUGAAAUAUAGCUUUACUUAUGUUUUUUUUUAUCAUUAAUAGGAAUUUUCUUGUUAAAACUAUAUGAAUUGAUUGAAACUUCAAAUUCAUACUACAACCAUGAUGAUUUAAUAAAACAUUCAAACUAAAUCCACAUAUUCCAUGAGUAAGAACCCUGAGAGCACAUUUAUUCAAGUUUAUGCUUUAAGUAAAAUAAAAGUAGAAAUGAGAAUUUUAAAGAAGAAAUUUAGUUAUAAAUAAUUGUCAAAUAAUUAAUUGUUCAGCAUUUAUUUUAUAGGUCCCACUGUUGGGACUCCAUGUGAUCUGCUAACUGGCAGGCCUUUUGUGGUUAGGCGAACCACAGUAUGCCUGCCCCAUAUAAGUUCCUCUCUUCUCAUAGAUAUAACUAGUGCUAUGUCAUGUCCAACAAGGGCUCUUCGAAACUUUUUAUGUGAAUUUUAAACAUUACCCCAUUACGCUUUUGAAACACCAAAACUACCUCAAAUUUUAAAAAUAUAAAAAAAAAUACAUAUUAAAAGAAUGUUUUAUGUCUUUAGCUUAACAGUUAGCACACGUAUUGUACUCUUGACAUUUUUCUUCUGUAAAUCUUCACUUCUUUUUUCUUUGAUUCUUCACACUCCACUGCUCUUUUAUCUCUAAAAAAUUAAAUUGUCCGUAGAAGCUUACUAUUUAAUUUACUGAUCUAAUUAUUUAGCUCUAAAUAUUUAGAUACGUUUUCUUAAUUAAUUAUCUCUUCUUUAAUUUUUUUGGUAAUUUCUCUUAGAUGAAAGAAUUAAGGUUAUGUCCUAGGAAAAUAUUAACUCUCAUAUUAUAGUGUUGAUAAUGAGGUUAUCCUUGAAUUUUUAACACAUGAAAACACAUCGAGGUAACUAUAAAUUCAUUGAAGGAAAUAUUUUAAUAAAUUUAGAUUUUGGUACAUAUUAUUUGUUGAAUUUUUUUUCUUUCCAAAUUGAACGUAGCCCUUAUGAUAUUCAGUUCGUGAUGGUGCCACUAAAUGUAAAGUGUCGAACUAGAUCAUAUUUCUCCCUUAUGCAAACUCCAUCGUUUAUUUAUAUUUCAAUUUUGUGGCCUAUUGUCGAGUUUUCUAGUUUCACAGAGGGCAUCUUGGAUUUCUCUACGUGGUCCAUAGUCUCUAGUCCAAAUGAAGAAAUCGAAUUCACCAUGUACAUUAGUGUUUUUUUUCUUUUUUCUUUUUGGGCGGGGGGGGAAUUUUUUUAUUGGCACAGGAAGAAAGCUCUUCGGCACUACUCGGAAGAAGAAUAUGAGCAACACAUGGUCCAAUUCGCAUUGUAUGGAAGUAAAACCGAAGCAUUAGACCAAAAGCAAACCUUAUUCAUAUUUUUAGUUACUGAUAACAAUUUCUUUCCCCUCUUAUUAUCAUCUUAAUUAAGAAAUAUAGUAAUUCGUUAACUUUUUGGGAAAUUAAAAAGGAUGGCAAUAUACAAUAUUCUUGUGUUGAUGACCUUAAAAGCUAAUUCCCUUGAAACAGGAAAACUGGUAUCGUUUUUCAAAGCACAUAAAUGAUAUAUCCCAGCUUUCAAUGUGAUCGAAAGAUUUCAUAGCCACACUCGAAAUUAAUAAAUGAUCCCUAAGAAUUCGUUAACUUCAAGAGUUUAUAGAACAUUAAUUGAUCCAAAUCCAAUACAAACUGCUUACUAGUACAGCUGCAAGAGAGCCAUUUUUUUUCAGUAGGCAUAUUAAACAACUGCAGCAGUCACUAGAAAGCUAGUAUAGACCAAUUGUUCAUCUACCAACCAAUUGUGAAAUUGUUACAUCAUUACUUGAACAUAUUUCCCAUCCAAUCGUGGCUUUAUUUUGUUCGUCUUCAUAAGCUUUGUUUAAGAAAUCGGAGUCCAUUCGAUGAGUCUAUCAGCAUUCUUUAACUAAUUAUUAGAUUAAAUGUAUAAAUUUAAAACUAGUAAAAGUUUAGACUAUGAAAGAACCUUGAUUCAUUCAAGAAAUAAUUAAAAUUUUAAUCCUUUUCAAACUGGUUAAUAUUAACCUUAUCAUUAUGCGAAAACACAAUUUAAAAGAAAAAUAAAAUAAAAUAAAAAUCUCACAAAGUUGGUGUGUGGAAUAGUCAAUACGUUGUCCUUGAUUUUUUAUUUUUUAUUUUUUACAAACCCUUAAAGAGUCUAUAGAUGUAGUUAGUGAUAUUACAUUACAUUAAUUGAUCCAAAUCCAAUACAAACUGCUUACCAGUACAGCCUCAAGAGAGUCAUUUAUUAUUCAAUUGGCAAAUUAAACAACUGCAGUAGUCACUAGCAGCUUGCCAAGAGCUAUAGCGUAGAUCAAUUGUUCAUCUACCAACCAAUUGUGAAAUUGUUACAUCAUUACUUGAACAAAUUUCCAAUCCAAUCGUGGCUUUCCUUUGUUCAUCUUCGUAAGCUUGCUUUGAGAAAGUUGCAGGCUUCUUUGGAGUCAUUAUAUCAGCCGUGCUCUCAUUUUCGAGCAUCGAAGAAACUUCCAGCAUAGAAGGUCUAUCGUCUGGGUUCUCCUGAACACACAACAGAGCUAUUUGCAGACAUGUUAGCAAUUUCCACGAGGAAUGCGUAUCAUCUAGUGAUGUAUCCAUUAACCCCAUGCCUUUCCCAUCUUUCCACAGCUCAUAAGCCUGUAAAUAUCGAAUAUGUUAUUGAGUUACAUUCAAUUAAUUAGCACUAUAAAGUUUUGAUCCAGUGUGCAUUAUAAAGGGGGUUAUGAAGAAACUUACAUACUGUACAAGGCUUAAAUUUUCAUUCUGGCCAGAUUGAACGAACAAUCUUCUUCCACUUAUAAUUUGCAAAAGUAAAACCCCAAAACUGUAGACAUCAGAUUUGGUGGAGUAGAUGCCUCUCGUCACAUACUCAGGAGGGAUAUAGCCACUGUUGUACCAAGUACUUACAAAUAUCAGUUAAAUUGUUUGACCUAAAAGGUUAAGCUGAUUGGUAAAGGCUCAACAAUAGUAUUAAAGACAAGUCGAAAAAUAGACGUAUAUACACUUACUGUGUUCCAACAAUUCGACUGGUGUUUGCUUCAAGGUCGUCUUUCACAAAAAUUCUAGCUAAGCCAAAAUCUGAUAUUUUAGGCUUCAUAUUUUCAUCCAAUAAAACAUUACUAGCUUUCAAGUCUCGAUGAAUAAUUGUUAAUCUAGAAUAUUCUUGAAGAUAAAGAAGCCCUUGAGUUAUUCCUUGAAUGAUAUGAAUGCGUUUUUUCCAAUCCAAAAUAAACCUUCGGAUGGGAUCUACAUCAAAUAUAAGUAUAGUUGGACGGUCAGUAGCACUAGCAUUUGGAGAUGAGAAAGCAAAUGGAGGCACAUAAAUUAAGAAUUAAGCAGAAGCACAUACCAAAAAGGAAAUAGUCUAAGCUUUGUUUUGGCAUGUACUCGUAGAUCAGCAUUUGUUCUUCUCUGUCAAUGCAAAAACCUAAAACCUUAAUAAGAUUUACAUGUUGGAGUUUUGCAGUAAGCAUAACCUCAUUCUUGAACUCCUCAAAUCCUUGUUUGGAUGUCUUUGAGAGUUUCUUCACUGCUAUUACCUGUCCAUCAGGUAAUACACCCUGCAAACACCCCCAAAACAUUAAAAAGGAAAAAAAAAUGCAAUGUUCAUAUACAUAUGUGUGUGUGUGUAUUUCGCUAAUUAAUUAAUAAGAUGAGAGAUAGCCAAGCUAUCGAUAUAUAACCUUGUAAACAGGGCCAUAUCCACCCUCCCCGAGCUUAUUUUCAAUUGAAAAUCUAUCCGUGGCCACCUCAAUAUCAGCCAAGCUAUAUUCUCUAAGAUCAGGAUCAUUGCUGUUAAAAUCUCCAGCAUGUGCUUGACUGUUUGCUCCGUCCUUUGAUGACUUGGCUGAGUCAAUUACUAUUCCAAUUAAUAUCAACCAAGGAAAAAAAAGAAAAAGAAAAAGAAAAAAGCUAAUUUAAGUAAAUUGCCCACUUCUUCAGCUGUGCUAAAUAGAAUAGAAGUAAAAAUAAUCCUAAACCCCUGUAGAAGAAGUUACCUUUUAAUUUGAGGUUUUUCAUCCAGCAGUAGUAAUACAGCCAAAAACCUAGUAGAAGAAUACAAGCUGCAGUGGUAGUCAAAACAACUACCCAUAACAGUCGCUUAUUUUGACCACUCUUGUCAUCCUCUUCAGCUGAAAAGUCAAUCACUUUGCGUUGGUUAACCAUUGAUGCUGAAAUAAAGAUCUUAAUUCAAGUCAUUAUCCAGAAAAGUGAUCAACGGAUUGCAGUGAGUGCGGAAUUCCAUUUGCUUACCUGCAGCUUGAGAAAGCAUCCAAUCAUGAUCAUAGGAAACUAGCCACACAUGGUAUCCGCGUAGCUUCUUCUCCUUGGCAUAUGCAACCUUCACUCUAAUGGCCUCCACAUCAUCAAAACCAAACCAAAUCUUCCCAAUCGAGCAGUAGUUCACCACAUAAGUUGAAUUGUAAAUAACUUGGACAUUAGGACCAUAUCUCUUGAUGUGAUUCUUGAUUUCCCUAUAACUCACAAGACCAUCUUCACUCAAAGCUGGUCCCGUUGCUGCUGCACCAAUACCAUUGUCCUCAGGUUUCACAAGCGUCCAUGCAUAGCCAUAGAAAGGCAAACAUAAAACCAAUUUAUCAGCCGAUAACCCUUCGUCAAUCCAUUCCGUGAUUCCGUAUUCAGUAUUAGAGACACUAUUUGGAUCAUACAGAGCCGCAUGAGCACCAGUAAAAUUUGUCCACGUAGGGACUGAGUAAUCAGUAGUGAAAACAUGGACCCAAUUCAAGUAUUGUCUUAUCGAGUCGACUGGAUAAGCUGCUGCUGGUGAGUAUGGUGAAUAUGCAACCGUUGCCGUCAAAAUCAACUGUGAUUGGCUCGAGUUAUUUCUUGCUUCUAAAGCUACGGCAGCUCGCCAUUCUUUAAAGAGAAUGCCAAUAUUGUACUUAUCCCAGCUUGUGUUUGCAAAAUACCAAGACAGAUCUAAGCCUUGAAAGCCAUAGAGCCUUGCUAUUUUUAUUGAGGAGUCAAUAAAGGAUUUCCUGGAAGAAGGAUUGCCCGCCAUGGAAGAAUAAGUUGAAUAGUUUGGAUAAUUUCCUGCUCCGAUGGAAAGAAGUGUAGUGAUUGAUGGGUUCUUUAUUUUGACUGUGUCUGUGAAGUUGGAGAAUUGUUUUUCAUCCGAAGGUAAUAAAGAAAGCUCAUAGGAAGUUGAGUUGACACCAGCAAAACCACACAUCAGGUGAGUGAAGAGAGCAGAAUUUACAUCUGAAACUGGGAACCCAUCGCGUGAAUCCCAGUAACCAGCUCUGAUUAAAGUUUGUGCUCUUGCAGGAAGCGAUUCUGAAAAUAUAAAAAUGUGGAGGACAAGAAUGAUAAUUUUGGAUGCCAUUGUGGGAACCUGGCUGCUUGAGGCAUACCUAGUAUGUGAUUAUAUAUUUGUACACACACACACAAAAUGUAAUGGAGAAAUUAUCCUAUACCGAUUGAGAUUAGUUAUUGCACUAAUAAUGCAAACUUGAGUCAACUUUCAACUUAUGAGCUUAGUCCAUAAGUUUUUAUACGAUAUCAAAUUCAAGUUAUGAAUGAGGGACCCUAUAAUACCUUCCAACCUAACUUAAUAAUUAAUCUUAGCCAAUGUGACAUACUUGUUCUAUCACUUUAUCACGUCCAAGUCGAUCUUUUAGCUUUGUCUCUUUUUCAUGAUAAUAAGUGAUAAGAUUGAAGUUCUUAAAUUAAGCUAUGACUUUUUACCUCCGCUUAGCUUGACUUCUGAAGUUGGAGACUCGUUCUUUUGUAUUGUCUUUGUUGGUAUUUAAAUGAACUCGGAGUCCUCGACGAGUUUCUGAAGCGAAGUCAUUAUUCCUCUAUGACUCCAUCCAUGCAAUUGGAAGGCAAAAUCUUGUGAAAAUAUUUUCUAAGUUGAUUCAGUCCAUGAUCAACGUGCACAAAACGCAAAAUCUUGCGAAAAUCAAACCCGUCCUCACUCAUGACCUCACUUUAUUAAAUUACAGCUUGUCAUUGAAUUGAGUGUUGCCUUAAUUAAGCCAUCAAAUUAAUAAAGUGAUGGUCAUUAAGAAAUACACUUAGUUACUUCCUGAUGGUAAGAUUCAAUAAUAUUCUAAUUUAAAAAAAAAAAAAAAGAUCCAUAUACCUUUUUCUUGUGUAAUUUAAUUUUCAGUCCAGUCCACCCUCCCAUUUUAUCAUAAAAGUGUAUACAAACAUACGUUUUACUCAAUGUUUACUUAGAAACAAAUGGCGCGCGUACGAUUGCCGAUCUAGUACCACUCUCGUAUGCUUGGUGGGAUUCGGCUUCACCAAAUUUGUAGCAUAUAUUUUACUUUAAUGAGAAAAUCAAAUAAUUAUUGAACAAAUAAUUUUUUUUUCAAUAUACUUUCUUAAAAUGUAUGGAGUUGGUAAAGUGCAAAUUCAUUUUUUAGCCCUUUGACUCCUCCAAAAUCAAAACUAAAAUUAAUGGUCAGUUAAAUAAUGUUACUUGAAAAUCAUUUCCUAGCUAGAAUUUGUUUAAUUCUAUUAAUUUACAAUCGUUUUUCAUUUUACUUAAUUAAUUAAAGUGAAUUUAUUAUGUAUACAUUCUACAUACAUAAAGUUUUAAUAUUCAGUGUUGAAUUGAAUUGUACUAAAUUUUUUAUAAUUUUUUGUCAGACCUGCGUUUUUAACAGUUUAAUAGUAAUAUUGAUAGCACAUAAUAUACAGGAUUAAGAGAGAUCGAUUUCGACUGCUACAAGAUUUUUAGGAUUGCAUGCACAAGGGUUUAAAAACAAAGUGUACACUUAAUUACACCAAACGAGGGUGCAUUUUUAUGAUGAAAUAAAAACUACGUGCAGGGUUGUAAAAGUGGCUCCAUAAUUAGCGUACAUUAACAUUCAUCUAGCUACCACUUCCGAAAAUGAUACAUCAUAAGCCGAACAUUUUUCCAAUUUUGUUGUAGAUAAUAGUUCAAUCCCAAUUUCAUCAACUUGUUUUGAGAAAGCAGGCUUCUUGGGAGUAUUUGUAUUUGUGGUUUCAUUCUUGAGCAUUGAGGAAACUUCCAGCAUUGAAGGUCUAUCGUUUGGAUUCUCCUGGACACACAACAAAGCUAUUUCCACACAUCUCAUUAAUUUACAAGGGGAAUUUCUAUCAUCUAGGAAUGAAUCCACAAACUCCACGCCUUUGCCAACUUUCCACAACUCAUAUGCCUGAAAUUAUCAAGUACCAUCUUGUUACAUAAUUUAUACUUCUUAAUUAAGUGCGCAUAUGUGUACUCAGGGUUACUAUAGCCGAAGAAACUUACGUGCUCUAGAAUGCUUAAAUUUUCAUUGAUGCCACAUAACACUGAAAGCCUCUUUCCACUUAUGAUUUGUAGAAGUAAAACUCCGAAACUAAAAACGUCUGAUUUGGUAGAGUAUACACCUUGUCUGGCGUACUCAGGAGGAAUACAGCCUCUGCGUUCAAAAUAACCAAGUAUAUAUGAGUAAGGGAUUUUGCAAUUUAAUAAAUUUGUAAAACCCAUUUUAAAUUGUGGUAAAAGUCCAUUCUGCAUUUUAUUAAAGUGCUGAAUUCCUUAUUCGAAACCCAAUAUAUGUAUAACAAACAGAAGCUUGAGUAAAGGAUAUCAUUUAGAUGUAAUAUACUUACAUUGUUCCCACAACUUGUUCUGUAUUCGCUUCGAGACUCUCUUUUGCAAAAAUCCUAGCCAAACCAAAAUCUGAAAUUUUAGGUUUCAUACCUUCACCUAACAAAAUAUUACUGGCUUUCAAGUCUCGAUGAAUAAUAGUCAGUCUUGAAUAUUCCUGGAGGUAUAAAAGCCCUUGAGUUAUCCCUUCAAUGAUAUGAACACGUUUUUUCCAAUCCAAAAUAAGUCUUCUGAUGGGAUCUACAACAAAUAUAUAGUUUUGGACAAUAAGUGAUAUGCAAAUGAAUUUUAUACACAAUUAAUAUUAACUUGAUUUCAGAACAAACCAAAAAGGUAGCAAUCCAAGCUUUUGUAUGGCAUGUAUUCGUAGACCAGCAUCUGUUCCUCACUGUCAAUGCAAAAACCUAAAACUCUAAUAAGAUUUACAUGUUGGAGUUUUGCAGUAAGCAUAACCUCAUUCUUAAACUCCUCAAAUCCCUGUGCGGAUGAUUUCGAAAGUUUCUUCACUGCUAUCACCCCUCCACAGGGUAAUACACCCUGCAACCCAAAAAAAAAAACCACGUUCAUAUAAAGCUUUCACUAAUUAGAGAAGCUGAGAAAUGUUAGCCAAACAAUAUGCUACCCCCCAAAGUUGAGGGCACCAUUUUAAGUCCUUUAAGUCCCCAUGGACGCAAAAUGUAAAUCUCCUCUCACAGAAUAUGGAUAUGGGUAGAGGUAUCUUCCUAAAAUAUUAGUCGAAGUAGUUAUAUCCCUCUAGUGUGAGGUUAGAGGUCUCAUCUCUAAUAGGCAUAGAUUUUUAAAUUAUAUGUUUUGGGCCUCUGAAUUCUAUGACGAGUGUACAAAUUCAAACUUCCGAUAGGAUCCAAAUUGCAACAUUGUGGAUUGUAACAAAUUAAAAUAUAGGUAUACACACACACACACACAUAUGUUACCUUGUAAACAGGACCAUAUCCACCCUCCCCAAGCUUAUUUCUAAUUGAAAAUCCCUCGGUGGCCGCCUCAAUAUCAGCCAAACUAUAUACUCUGAGAUUAGGAACAUUUAUGUUAAAGUCUCCAGCUUCUGUUUCAUUAUUUGCUCUCGUGUUUGAUGCUUUAGCAGAAUCCUCUGUUCCUAACAUCAACCAAGAGUAAAUAUUAGAUAAUUAAUUGUAUGUCAGCCUCAGUGAUAUAUAUGUGUGUGUGUGUGUGUGUGUGUGUGUGUGUGUGUGUGUGUUUGUGUUUGUGUGUGUGAAUGAAAUGCAUGCUUAAUGAUAAUUGAUAGCUGAAGCUUGUUACCUUCUAUUAACUUGAGCCUUUUCCUCUGGUUGUAUUUAUAUGCACAACAGCCUAGAAGGAGAGUCAAAGCUGCCGCUGCAGUGGAAAUGAGUGCAAUGGACAGACACCGGUUGUUACUAUGUUCAUCUUUUUCAGCUGAAGCAGAAGUAAUCCUGUCUUUUUGUGCUGGAAAUAUGUAUAGUUCACCAAUUAAUAAUAACAAGCUUGAGAUACCAUAACAAUCAUUAUUAAUCAGAGAGAACAAUUAUUGCAUAUAUAAAUACCUGCAGCUUGAGAAAGCACCCAAUUAUGAUCAUCAAAAGGAACUCGCCACACAUAGUAACCAAGCAAUCUCUUCUCUUUGGCAUAGGCGAUCUUAGCUCUAACAGCCUCCACAUCAUCAAAACCAAACCAAACCGUCCCAGUGGAGAAGUAAUUCACCACAUAAGUUGAAUUGUACAUAACUUGAACAUUAGGAGCAUAGUUCUUGAUGUGAUUCUUGAUAGUCCUAUAGGUCACAAGGCCAUCAUUAGUCAAAGCUGGUCCUGCUGCUGCUGCUCCAAUACCAUUGUCUUCAGGUUUCACAAGCCUCCAUGCAUAGCCAUAGAAAGGCAAAGACAUAGCCAACUUAUCAGCCGAUAGCCCUCUCUCAAUCCAUGCCUUUAAAACCUGAUCGGUACUUUUAGCAAAGCCGCCGCUACUUGAGCCAUGGAGAGCCGCAGGUGGCGCAGUGAAGUUUGUUGACAAAGGCUUGUAGUAGUUAGCAGUAACUGCAUGAACCCAAUUCAAGUUUCGUUGCAUCGAAUUCAAAAGAUAUGAAUUCGCUGGUGGUGAAUAACGAAAUCUUGCGGUCAAAAUCAGCGGGGAUUGCUGGCGACUAGAGUUUAUUGCCUCUAAUUUUGUAGCAGCAAUUCGCCACUCGUCAAAAAGUAAACCAAUAUUGAACAUAUCGGUGCUUGUGUUGGGAGCUGUCCAAGCAAAAUCUAGGCCCUGAAAGCCAUAAAGCCUAGCUAUUCUUAUUGAAGAGUCGAUGAAAGAUUUUCUGUGAGAAGAAUUUCUCACCAUUGAAGAAUAUAUAGAAUAGUUUGUAUGUCUUCCUUCUCCAAUGGAGAGAAGCAUAGUGAUUGAUAGGUUCUGUUUCUUCACAGUGUCUGCGAAUUUGGCGAUUUGAUUUUCAUCGGAUGGUAAUGAUAAAGAUAGCUGGUAAGUGGUAGAAUUGAUAUCAGCAGAAGAGCAAAUAAGGUGAGUGAAGAGAUCAUAAUUUAUGCCCGAAAUGGUGGACACUUCGCUUAGAUUCAAGUAACCGACCCUAAUCCACGGUUUUGCUUUCGCUGGAUGAAGUUCUGAAUAGAGCAACGUGUGCAAGAUGAUGCUGAUAAUUAUGGAUGCCAUUUAAGACUUUGUUAGGAAUGGAAAUGAAUGCACACUAAGAGAAAUUAAAUAAACACUAGUUUCACAGUUCAUUUAGGUUCUUAUUAAACUAUUAACGCAUAGGUUCAUUUCGUUCCAAAAAAAAUCUUAUGUGCUCCUGAUAGGGACACAUACAUUGCAUGUUAAGAUGAUGAUAGGCGAUGCGACCAUUUCCUAAGAACUAAGAUUUUCUUCUAUCGCGUGGCUGACUUUUCAUGAAGAAAAAUGAUGCUUUGGUUGUCAUUUGGUUAAACUGAUGACAAAUUUCGGGUUACAAAUAUCAGUAUUGUUUUAUUAAACAAUAAAAGACAAAAAAUCAAUAUUUAUUAGAGAGAACAAUUAUUGCAUAUAUAAACACCUGCAGCUUGAGAAAGCAUCCAAUAUUGAUCAUAGGAAACUAGCCACACAUGGUAACCACGUAGCUUCUUCUCCUUGGCAUAUGCAACCUUCACUCUAAUGGCCUCCACAUCAUCAAAACCAAACCAAAUCUUCCCAAUCGAGCAGUAAUUCACCACAUAAGUUGAAUUGUAAAUAACUUGGACAUUAGGACCAUAGCUCUUGAUGUGAUUCUUGAUUUCCCUAUAACUCACAAGACCAUUUUCACUCAAAGCUGGUCCCGUUGCUGCUGCACCAAUACCAUUGUCCUCAGGUUUCACAAGCGUCCAUGCAUAGCCAUAGAAAGGCAAACAUAAAACCAAUUUAUCAGCCGAUAACCCUUCCUCAAUCCAUUUCGUGAUUCCGUAUUCAGUAUUAGAGACACUAUUUGGAUCAUACAGAGCCGCAUGAGCACCAGUAAAAUUUGUCCACGUAGGGACUGAGUAAUCAGUAGUGAAAACAUGGACCCAAUUCAAGUACUGUCUUAUCGAGUCGACUGGAUAAGCUGCUGCUGUUGAGAAUGGUGAAUAUGCAACCGUUGCCGUCAAAAUCAACUGUGAUUGGCUCGAGUUAUUUCUUGCUUCUAAAGCUACGGCAGCUCGUCAUUCUUUAAAGAGAAUGCCAAUAUUGUACUUAUCCCAGCUUGUGUUUGCAAAAUACCAAGACAGAUCUAAGCCUUGAAAGCCAUAGAGCCUUGCUAUUUUUAUUGAGGAGUCAAUAAAGGAUUUCCUGGAAGAAGGAUUGCCCGCCAUGGAAGAAUAAGUUGAAUAGUUUGGAUAAUUUCCUGCUCCGAUGGAAAGAAGUGUAGUGAUUGAUGGGUUCUUUAUUUUGACUGUGUCUGUGAAGUUGGAGAAUUGUUUUUCAUCCGAAGGUAAUAAAGAAAGCUCAUAGGAAGUUGAGUUGACACCAGCAAAACCACACAUAAGGUGAGUGAAGAGAGCAGAAUUUACAUCUGAAACAGGGAACCCAUCGCCUGAAUCCCAAUAACCAGCUCUGAUUAAAGUUUGUGCUCUUGCAGGAAGCGAUUCUGAAAAUAUAAAAAUGUGGAGGACAAGAAUGAUAAUUUUGGAUGCCAUUGUGGGAACCUGGCUGCUUGAGGCAUACCUAGUAUGUGAUUAUAUAUUUGUACACACACACAAAAUGUAAUGGAGAAAUUAUCCUAUACCGAUUGAGAUUAGUUAUUGCACUAAUAAUGCAAACUUGAGUCAACUUUCAACUUAUGAGCUUAGGGUGCGUUUGGCACACUGUAUUGUAUUAUGCUGUAUUGCAUUAUUUUAAUGUUGAUGUAUUGUACUAUACUGUAUUGUAUUAGCAUUGUAUUAUAAUAAUAUUGUGCAAUGUUUUAGCACUACAUUGUACUGUAUUAAUUUUUUUAUAAUUAAUUUAAAUUUUAUAUUUUAUUAUAUUAAUAUUUAUACUCUUAUGAAUUUUAAAUUAAUAUUAUUUAAAUUUGUUCAUAUUUAAAUAUUUAUUAUUAGUUAUAUUAUAUUAUAAAUUUAUUAAUAAAUUAUAAUAUAAAAAUAAAAAUAUAAUAUAAUAUUAUUGAAUAAAAAAUUAUAUAUUUAUUAAUUUAUAUUAAAUUAUAAUUUAAAAAUAAAAUUGUUAUAUAAUAUUAUAUUAAAUUAAAAAGUUAUCUUUAUUUUUUAUUAUUAUUAUAAGCAAAAACAAAAGUUAAAGCAAAAACUAAAUAGAAAAGAAAGAAGAAGGAAAAAAAAAAAGAAAAAGAAACGCAAGCCGCCAAAGAAGGAAAAGAGAAAAAAAAAAAAAAAAAAAAAAAGGUAAGCUAAUGCGGCAACUGCCGCAUUCGCUACAGUGCCCCUAACCCAUGUGAUAUUCUCCCAAACAUGGUACAAGUAUUAACUUAAUGUAAAUAGUAAUUUAAUACCCCUUAAUACUACAACCGAACACACCCUUAGUCAUAAGUUUUUAUACGAUAUCAAAUUCAAGUUAUGAAUGAGGGGCCCUAUAAUACCUUCCAACCUAACUUAAUAAUUAAUCUUAGCCAAUGUGACAUACUUGUUCUAUCACUUUAUCACGUCCAAGUCGAUCUUUUAGCUUUGUCUCUUUUUCAUGAUAAUAAGUGAUAAGAUUGAAGUUCUUAAAUUAAGCUAUGACUUUUUACCUCCGCUUAGCUUGACUUCUGAAGUUGGAGACUCGUUCUUUUGUAUUGUCUUUGUUGGUAUUUAAAUGAACUCGGAGUCCUCGACGAGUUUCUGAAGCGAAGUCAUUAUUCCUCUAUGACUCCAUCCAUGCAAUUGGAAGGCAAAAUCUUGUGAAAAUAUUUUCUAAGUUGAUUCAGUCCAUGAUCAACGUGCAAAAAACGCAAAAUCUUGCGAAAAUCAAACCCGUCCUCACUCAUGACCUCACUUUAUUAAAUUACAGCUUGUCAUUGAAUUGAGUGUUGCCUUAAUUAAGCCAUCAAAUUAAUAAAGUGAUGGUCAUUAAGAAAUACACUUAGUUACUUCCUGAUGGUAAGAUUCAAUAAUAUUCUAAUUAAAAAAAAAAAAAAAAAAAGAUCCAUAUACCUUUUCCUUGUGUAAUUUAAUUUUCAGUCCACUCCACCCUCCCAUUUUAUCAUAAAAGUGUAUACAAACAUACGUUUUACUCAAUGUUUACUUAGAAACAAAUGGCAGACGUACGAUUGCCGAUCUAGUACCACUCUCGUAUACUUGGUGGGAUUCGGCUUCACCAAAUUUGUAGCAUAUAUUUUACUUUAAUGAGAAAAUCAAAUAAUUAUUGAACAAAUAAUUUUUUUUUCAAUAUACUUUCUUAAAAUGUAUGGAGUUGGUAAAGUGCAAAUUCAUUUUUUAGCCCUUUGACUCCUCCAAAAUCCAAACUCAAAUUAAUGGUCAGUUAAAUAAUGUUACUUGAAAAUCAUUUCCUAUCUAGAAUUUGUUUAAUUCUAUUAAUUUACAAGCGUUUUUCAUUUUACUUAAUUAAUUAAAGUGAAUUUAUUAUGUAUACAUUCUACAUAUGUAAAAUUUUAAAAUUCAGUGUUGAAUUGAAUUGUACUAAAUUUUUUAUAAUUUUUUGUGAGACCUGCAUUUUUAACAGCUUAAUAUUAAUAUUGAUAGCACAUAAUAUACAGGAUUAAGAGAGAUUGAUUUCGAGUGCUACAAGAUUUUUAGGAUUGCAUGCACAAGGGUUUAAAAACAAAGUGUGCACUUAAUUACACUAAACGAGGGUGCAUUUUUAUGAUGAAAUAAAAACUAUGUACAGGGUUGUAAAAGUGGCUCCAUAAUUAGUGUACAUUAACAAUCAUCUAGCUACCACUUCCGAAAAUGAUAAAUCACAAGCCGAACAUUUUUCCAAUUGUGUUGUAGAUAAUAGUUCAAUCCCAACUUCAUCAACUUGUUUUGAGAAAGCAGGCUUCUUGGGAGUAUUUGUAUUUGUGGUUUCAUUCUUGAGCAUUGAGGAAACUUCCAGCAUUGAAGGUCUAUCGUUUGGAUUCUCCUGGACACACAACAAAGCUAUUUCCAGACAUCUCAUUAAUUUACAAGGGGAAUUUCUAUCAUCUAGUGAUGAAUCCACAAACUCCACGCCUUUGCCACCUUUCCACAACUCAUAUGCCUGAAAUUAUCAAGUACCAUUUUGUUACAUAAUUUAUACUUCUUAAUUAAGUGCGCAUAUGUGUACUCAGGGUUACUAUAGCCGAAGAAACUUACGUGCUCUAGAAUGCUUAAAUUUUCAUUGAUGCCACAUAACAUUGAAAGUCUCUUUCCACUUAUGAUUUGUAGAAGUAAAACUCCGAAACUAAAAACGUCUGAUUUGGUAGAAUAUACACCUUGUCUGGCGUACUCAGGAGGAAUAUAACCUCUGCAUUCAAAAUAACCAAGUAUAUAUGAGUAAGGGAUUUUGCAAUUUAAUAAAUUUGUAAAACCCAUUUUAAAUUGUGGUAAAAGUCCAUUCUGCAUUUUAUUAAAGUGCUGAAUUCCUUAUUCGAAACCCAAUAUAUGUAUAACAAACAGAAGCUUGAGUAAAGGAUAUCAUUUAGAUGUAAUAUACUUACAUUGUUCCCACAACUUGUUCUGUAUUCGCUUCGAGACUCUCUUUUGCAAAAAUCCUAGCCAAACCAAAAUCUGAAAUUUUAGGUUUCAUACCUUCACCUAACAAAAUAUUACUAGCUUUCAAGUCUCGAUGAAUAAUAGUCAGUCUUGAGUAUUCCUGGAGGUAUAAAAGCCCUUGAGUUAUCCCUUCAAUGAUAUGAACACGUUUUUUCCAAUCCAAAAUAAGUCUUCUGAUGGGAUCUACAACAAAUAUAUAGUUUUGGACAAUAAGUGAUAUGCAAAUGAAUUUUAUACACAAUUAAUAUUAACUUGAUUUCAGAACAAACCAAAAAGGUAGCAAUCCAAGCUUUUGUUUGGCAUGUAUUCGUAGACCAGCAUCCGUUCCUCACUGUCAAUGCAAAAACCUAAAACUCUAAUAAGAUUUACAUGUUGGAGCUUUGCAGUAAGCAUAACCUCAUUCUUAAACUCAUCAAAUCCCUGCGUGGAGGUUUUUGAAAGUUUCUUCACUGCUAUCACCUCUCCGCAGGGUAACACACCCUGCGACCGAAAAAAAAAAUGUUCAUAUAAAGCUUUCACUAAUUAAAUAAGCUGAGAAAUGUUAGCCAAACAAUAUGUUACCCUCCAAAGUUGAGGGCACCAUUUUUAAGUCCUUUUAAGUCCCCAUGGACGCAUAAAUCUCCUCUCACAAAAUAUGGAUAUUGGUGGAGAUAUCUUCUUAAAUAUUUGUAGAAGUAGUUAUUUCUCUCUAGUGUGAGGUUAGAGGUCUCAUCUCUAAUAGGUAUACAUUUUUAAAUUAUAUGUUUUGGGCCUCUGAAUUUUACUGUAAGUGUAUGAAUUCAAACUUCCGAUAGAAUCCAAAUUGUAACGUUUGUGGAUUUUGUGUGUGUAUUACCUUGUAAACAGGACCAUAUCCACCUUCCCCUAGCUUAUUUCUAACUGAAAAUCCCUCGGUGGCCGCCUCAAUAUCAGCCAAACUAUAUACUCUGAGGUUAGGAACAUUUCUGUUAAAGUCUCCAGCUUCUGCUUCAUCAUUUGCUCUCGUGUUUGACGCUUUAGCAGAGUCCUCUGUUCC
rnacentral:lncRNA from 1 species